CUCACUCGUCUCCAGCCGUCACCCCCCUGGAGUCGGGUCCUCCCUGCGAAAUCACACCAGCCAUUAGCCAUCUCACAUCGAGUCCCCCAUGAUUCUUCGAUCUAUUUCGUCCCCGCUGCAUUUCCCAGCUUCUUCUCUUUCUUCUUCAAUGCGUUCUUCGCUUUCCCCUUUGGUGUUGCGGGGAUCUUAUUUUUUGUAGAAGAGGAUUAGGGUUUCGCCAAGCGCGGUGUUUCGCCGCGCGAGCAGAGCUGGCAGAUGACGACAAGCAAGACAGGGACUCUGCAGCGCCCCCGGUUCAGAUCGGGGGUCGCGAAUGAUGCAUCCGUCUAGGGGAAUCUCCGAUGCCAUUCUCACUUUUCUUCACGCGCCAUAUUUGUUUCUGCAUAAAUUGGGUGGAGUGUUGGCCUCGUGAACAGAAAUUAUUAGCAUAUGACGACAAGCAAGACAGGGACUCUGCAGCGGCCCCGGCUCAGAUCGGGGCUGCGAAUGAUGCAUUAGUCUAGGGGAAUCUCUGAUGCUAAUCUAAUUUACAGUUUCUUCUCUCUUAGUCUUGCCCUGAACGGACAUGAAUCCCACCGGUGUUUGCUGGGUUAUUUUUUUCCAUUGGAUUUUAAUCUGACGUUGUUUGCUGAAUUUGUGCCGCAACAAAUCCGGUGCAAGCAUAACUAGCAUAUGACGAUAACCAAGACAGGGACUCUGCAGCGCUCCCGGUUUCAUAUCGGGGGCGCGGAUGAUGCAUCCGUCUAGGGGAAUCUCUGAUGCUAUUUUCACUUCACUUGCUUGUUCUUCAUUUUUUUUCCUUUUGUUGUUUUGACUUAGCUGCCUGUAACAGUGUUCAAUACAGUACAGACAUUUUGCAAUGAAUUCCUUUCAACUCGCCACUAAGUUGUUGCACUGAACUGCCAGCCUGAUGAUUAUCCUCGAGAACGGAGAUCUGAAUCCAUUUCUCCGUUGAAGCCCGCUUGGCCGCCGUGCUUGACCUGUCAUGGCAUUUGUUUCUUGGCUGGGUUUCUCUCAGGAGUAAAUUGCAAAACCCCCAACAUGCAACAUGCAACAUGCAUGCAUGCAUGCAUCUCGCACACACACACACACAUGUACGCACGAAGCAGGCCGAAUGGGCUCCGGGAAUGGAUGUGUAGAAGCAAAAGUUAUGAAGGCUUUGGCAGAUCGGGUGAAUGCCCCCCACUAGAUUCAUGGUGUACUUGUUUAAGUAGUGUUUGGUAUCAGUUUGAGGCUGCCCACCUUUAAUGGUUUAAUGCCUGGUGGUUUGCUGUAGAAAUCAUCAUGCGAAUAUUUUUGGAUCUGAACUAACUUAUGUGUGAAUUGUAGUGCUUAUGUUUGGACAUAGCAAGAUUAGAAGAAACGAGAACCAAGGCCAGAGUGCUUAAAGAGUAUUCGUUUAUCAAAUACGGAGCCUCUGUCUAGCCUGAUGAUUACAUUACCUUCGGAUAAAGAAUAAAGUUCUGAGAUCUCAGCUCCCUUGAAGCUCGCCUAGCUUAGGCUGCUGUGGUGGAUCCUACUCCCUCCUUCCAUAAAUAAUGUAGCAAUUUGCUCUUAGGAGUAAAUUGGAACAUACAUGCACAACACACACAUAUGUAUAUAUAUCUUCUUCCACCAACCUGGCAGGCUGGGUUCCGGUGAGAGUGUUUGAAGUCACAAAAAGUGUGAAGGCUUUGCAAAUGACUAGUUCUUGGUUCUGUAAUAUUACUCUAGUUGAGUUGUUUGGACUCUGUAUUAGCUAAUCUCAAAUGCACAACUUCUUUCAAGUCGUUGCGUUUUCCUUGUUUCAUGUUGUUGUUUGCAGUUAGAUAUAUUGGCUUUGACAUUGGAGCAUUCUGAUCUAGCUGCCUGUUAAUUUAAAUGCACUUCCCUGUUGAAGCCUGCUUGGCCACUCUGGUGCAUUGGCAAUUCCAAGGUUUUAUAGGAAUUGAGAUACAUGUCAUCUCACUUCAUAUGAUUUUCCUAUUCCCAUGAUAUUCCUUAACUAUGAACCAAAGGAGGCCUUAAUUUCCUUUGACCGAGCUGGCUGGUCAAAAUAAUGCUCUCCUAUGUGUUUGUAUAGUGUUUUGCAACUCUGAUUGCUUAACUGCUGCCAUUUGGCCAUACUUUUGGAGGGUCAGUAGGUUGUUUCUGCAGUGCCCUUAAGUUUCUAUUCUCGUGAUCUUUUCUGCCAACUGAAUAUUGUUGCUCUCAUUGGUUUGUGCACCUUGAGAUUAUGUUGUCUCAGAUGUGGUUGCUGGUUUCUUGUGUUAAUUUCUUCCUUCUGCCUGCAUUUUCAUUGAAUACAGUUUAAGCAUUUUGGAAUGGAAAAUACUCAGUCUUGAGGCAUUUUAUUGUUGAGGUACGAGGUUGACCCGAUGAUUAACCUAAGAAUGAAGAUAUGAAUCCAAUUCUAGCCUUGAUGCGUUUUCCUUGAAUACAGUUUAAGCCUGAUGAUUAACCUAAGAAUGAAGAUAUGAAUCCAAUUCUAGCUGCUCCGCUAGAUGCUUUUCUUUCUUUCUUGGUAGGGUUUCUAGGGGAAUCUCUGAUGCUAUUCUCACUUUCCUCCCGCACCAUCUUUGCUUUGUUUCUGCAUCAAUUGGGUGGAGUGUUUCGCCUUGUCAAAAAAUAAUAAUAGCAAGACAGGGACUCUGCAGUGGCUCCGGCUCAGAUCGGGGCCGCGAAUGAUGCAUUCGUCUAGGGGAAUCGCUGAUGCUAAUCUAAAUUCACAGUAUCUUCUCUCAGUCUUUGCCUGAACGGACAUGAAUCCCGCUGGUGUUUGCUAUUCUUAGCAGUUUUUCCUAUGGAUUUUAAUUUGCUAAAUUUGUGUUGCAACAAAUCCGGCACAAACAUAAUUAGCAAAUGACGAUAAGGAAGACAGGGACUCUGCAGCGCUCCUGAUUUCAAAUCAGGGCCGCGAAUGAUGCAUCAGUCUAGGGGAAUCUCUGAUGCUAAUUUCCUUUUAGCUUUUUCUCUUGCAUUUUUAUCUUGAUUUAGGUGCUAUUAACUGUGGUAAAUACAGUGUGAGCAUUUUCACAAUGAUUUCUUUUAGCCAGAGGCACUUCCUUGUUCAGAUAAGCGGGGUGCACUGAACUGCCAGCCUGAUAAUUAUCUUCAAGAACGGAGAUCUGAACCCACUUCUCCGUGGAAGCCUGCUUGGCCGCUGUGCUUGUCGAAUAUCCUGGUUUCUUGGCUGGGUUCCUAAAAUGCAAAACCCCCAAAGUGCACCCAUCCAUCGAUGCAUCUCACACACACACACAUACAUGUACGCAUGAAGCAGGCCAAAUGGGCUCCGGGAGUGGAUGUGUAGAAGCAAAAGUUAUGAAGGCUUUGGCAGAUCAGAUGAAUGCCCCCACUAGGUUCAUGGUAUGCUUGUUGUAGGCUUGCCCACCUUCAUUGGUUUAAUGCCCUGGUGUUUUGCGGUGGAAAUCAUCAUGGCAAUAUCUGUUGGGUUCUGAACAUUACUUAUGUGUGAAUUGUAGUACUUAUGUUUGGACAUAGCAAGAUUAGCAGAUAUGGGAAUCACGGCCAGAAUAUGUAAUAGUAUCUGUUUAUCUUUAUGGAACCUUGUGCUUGGCCAGCCUGAUGAUUACACCUCUACAUAAAGAAUGAAGUUCUGAGGUCUGAAUGCUCUUCUCAGCUCCGUUGAAGCUUGCCUAGCUUAGGUUGCUGUGGUGGAUCCUACUCCCUCCUUUCCUAAAUAAUGUACUCCCUCCGUCCACAAAUAUAAGAUGUUCUAGCUUUUUGCUGAAUUGGAACAUGCAUGCACACAUGCAUAUAUAUAUAUUAUCUUCCACCAACAUGGCUAGCUGGGCUCCGGUGAGAGUGCUUGGAGACACAAAAAGUAUGAAGGCUUUGCUAAUGCAUAGAAUUCUUGGUUUUGUAUUAUUACAUAAGAUGCUUCGGCUGUUUUUCUUUCUUGUUCCGGCUGUUCGCAGUUGUUAAGUGGUUGUAACGAUGGCCUUGUGUCAUCCCUGGCCGGUUGAUGGCUUUGUUAAUUCAAAGCCGGGCUCUUCUUGAGCCUUCGCUCUAAAAAAAGAAACUUGUUUGGACUUCGUAUUAGCUAUCUCAAAUGCACAACUUCUUAUCAUAGUUGUUUUUUUCUCGUUUCAUGUUGAUGUUUGCAUGUAUCUAUUUGCUUUGUCAUUGGAGCAUUCUGAUCUAGCUGCCUAAUGAUUACCAUAGUGUGCAUUGUACAAAGAAUGGAUAUCUAAAUGCACCUCCUUGUUGAAGCCUGCUUGGCCACUCUGGUACAUUGGCACUUCCAGGUUUUUUUUUGGGAUCUGCUAGAGAUGCUCUUAUCCUGCUGUUGCUGUUGCUGCUACCUCCAUCACUGGUGUUCCAUUGGACGUCUAGGAGGGGAGUGGGGGUGGGGGGUCUGGCUGUAGAUGCUCUUAAUUUCCUAUGACUGAGCUGGCUAAGUGGAUUCCAGGGAAUAAAUAUGUUGAAGUAUGAAUGAAGGCUUGUCUGAUCAAAAGAAUGCUCCUAUAUGUUUCUAUAGCGUUUUGCAACUCUGAUUGCCUAAUGAUCAUUAGGGUAUGUUUUUGGAGGGUCAUUGGGUGUUUCUGCAGUGCCCUUAUAUUUCUAUUCUUGUGGUCUUCUCUGGCAACCGAAUAUUGUUGCUCUCAUUGGUUUGUGCAUGUUGAGAUUUCCUUGUGUACCUCCACACAUGGUUGCUGAUUUCCCGUGUUAAUUUCUUCUGUAGUACUUAUUCUGCCUGGGUUUUCAUUGAAAAGUUUUAGUCGGAGGCAUUUGUUGUUGAUUGAGGUAGGUGGUUCAGUGAAUCCCACUUGCCGCCGUGCUUGAUUGAUGCCUUCCCCCUCCUUUGUUUCUUGGCUGGGUUUCUCUUGGGAGUACAUUACAAACACACACACACACACACACACAUGCCCGCACAAAGCAGGCUAAAUGAGCUCUGGGAAUGGAUGUGUAGUAGCAAAAGCUAAAAGGCUUUGGCAGAUUUGAUGAAUGCCCCCCACUAGAUUCAUGGUAUGCCCCCCUCCAUAUUAGUGCUGCCCACCUUACAUGGUUUAGUGCCUGGUGUUCUGCUGUAGAAAUCAUCAUGGAAAAUCUGACUGGAUCUGAACGUAACUUCUGUGAGUUGUAGUACUUAUAUUUGGACUCGAGCAAGAUUAGCAGAUAUUAAAAUCAAGGCCAGAGUAUCUGUAGUAUUUGUUUGUCACAUACAGAACCUUUGUAUGCUUUGCCAUCCUGAUCAAGGCUAGAAUAUCUGAUAGUAUUCGUUUCUCAGCUCCGUUGAAGCUCACGCAGCUUAGGCUGCUGUGGUGGUGGAUCCUACUCCUUCUGUUCCUAAAUAAUGUAGCAAUUUGCUCUUAGGAGUUAAUUGGAACAUGUAUGCACACUCUGGGCUCCGGUGACGGUUUUUGGAGAGACAAAAAGUUUGAUUGCUUUUGGCAAAUGCACAGAAUGCUCAGUUCUGUAAUAGUAUUAUUCUAGUUGAGAACGUUGUUUGGGCUCUGUAUUAGUUUUCUCAAAUGCGCCGCUUUGAAUUUUUUUUCUUGUUUUGUGUUGAUGUUUGCAGUUAAUAUAUUUGCUUUGUCCUUUGAGCAUUCUGGUCUAGCUGCCUGAUGAUUACCACUAAGAAUGGAGAUCUGAAUGCACUUCCCUGUUGAAGCUCGCUUGGCCGCUUUGGUGGAUUGGCAAUUCCAAGGGUUUUUUGGGGUCCGUUGGAGUUGCUCUUAACCUGCUGCUGCUGCUUCCUCCUCCUCCUCCUCCUACUACUACUACUACCAUCACUUCAGUUCCUUGCAUGCCUGCAACUACUCAACCCUCCUAAACUCUUAAUUGCCUUUGAUCGAGCUGGUUAAGUGGACUCCAGGGAAUAAAUAUGUUGAUGCAAGAAGUAUGAAUGAAGGCUUGGCUGAUCAAAAGAGUGCUCCGAUAUGUUUUUAUAGCGUUUUGCAACUCUGUUUGCUUAAUUGGCCAUUUUUGGAUUAGGGUGUUUCUGCUAAGCUCUAUUCUUCCGAUCUUUUCUGGCAACUGAAUGUUGUUCCUUUUUCUGUUUGGUAUUGUCUUUUAUGGUUUGUGCACCUUAAAAUUUCCUUGUACCUCAGACAUAUUUGCUAAUUUCGUGUGUGUUUCCUCCGCCUGGGCUUAGUCUGAGGCACUUGUUGUUGGGUGUUGGGUGGGGCUUAGUCUGAGGCACUUGUUGUUUGGUGUUUGGUGGGGGUUGUCAAGUGUAUUGCAAACCUGAUGAUUAGCCUAAAAAUGGAAAUCUGAAUCCAUUUCUCCGUUGCUUGGCCGCGUGCUUGGUUCAUCCCCUCCUUUGUUUCUUGCCUGGGUUUCUCUCAGUAGUAAAUUGCAAAAAACCCAACAUGCAUGCAUGCACACAUGUACGCACAAAAAGCUUUGGCAGAUUGUUGAAUGCCCCCACUAGAUUCAUGUUAUGCUUGUUUAAGUGCAUUUUAGAAUAGUUUGUGGCUGCCUGUUUUCCUUCCAUGGUUUAUUGCUUGGUGUUUUGCUGUAGAAAUCAUCAUGGAAAUAUUUGUUGGGUUCUGAACAGUUGGUGCCCUCCUUGAAUGCUUUAGUGCCUGUAUUUUGCUGUGGUUAUCAUGGAAAGAUUUGUUUGGAUCUGUAUCUUAUGUUUGGCCUAGUAUUCGUUUAUCAGAUACUAAACCUUUUGUGCUUGACCAGCCUGAUGAUUACCUAUGGCAUAAAGAAUGGAGACCUGAAUGCCCUUCAAAGCACGCCUAGCUUAUGCUGCUAUGGUGGAUCCUACCCCCUCCAUUCCUAAAUAAUGUACUCCCUCCUUCCAUCUAUAUAGGGCCUAAUGCGUUUUUCGAGGCUAACUUUGACCAAAUGUUAAUAAUAUAUGACAUGCAACUUACACAAAGCAUACGGUCAAAUUUGUGUGUGAAAGGAGCUUCCAAUGAUAUAAUUUUCACAUUAUACAUCUCAUGUACUAUUAAUCUUGUCAAUAGUCAAAGGCGGUUUUGAAAAAUGCAUUAGCCCCUAUAUAAAUGGAAGGAGAGUGUAGCAGAUUGCACAAAGCAGGCUAAAUGGGCUCUGAGAAUGUGUGUGUAGAAUGGGCUAAAUGGCCAGCCUGAUAAAGGCCAGAAUAUAGGCUUUCUCAGCUCCUUUGUACCUCACCGAGCUUAGGCUGCCGUGGUGGAUCCUACUCCCUUCAUUCCUAAAUAAUGUAGCAACUUGCUUUUGAGGAGUAAUUUGGAACAUGUGUGCAACUCUAUAGAUAUAAUCUCUGAUCUUCCAGCAACCGGUUAGGUGGGCUCUGGUGAUGGUGUUUGGAGAUACAGAAGUUUGAAGGCUUUUGGCAAAUGCACAGAAUGCUCAGUUCUGUUAGGUAGAAAGUUGUUUGGUUUCUGUAUUAUUUUUCUAAAAUGCACAACUUGUUUGAAAUAUUUUUUUUCUUGUUUUGUCUUGAUGUUUGCAGUUGAAUAUAUUGGCCUUGUCCUUUGAGCAUUCUGGUUAGCUGCCUGAUGAUUACCACAAAGAAUGGAGAUCUGAAUGCACUUUCCUGUUGAAGCUCGCUUGGCCGCUUUGUUGCGUAGGCAAAUCCAAGGGUUUUUUGGGGAUCCGUUGGAGAUGGUCUUAACCUCCUGCUCCUGCUCUAAUACCACUUCCACCAUCACUGCUGUUCCUUGCAUGCCUGGAACUACUCAACCCUCCUGAACUCUUAAUUUCUUUUGACCGAGCUGGCUAAGUGGACUCCAGGAAUAAAUAUGUUGAUGCCAGAAGUAAUAACGAAGGCUUGGCUGAUUGAAAGAAUGCUCCUAUAUGUUUGUAUAGCGUUUUGCAUCUCUGUUUGCUUAUUGAUUAGGGUGUUUUUUUUGGAUUAGGGUGUUUCUGCAGUUUCAUUAAAGCAAUAUUCUUCCGAUCUUUUUUGACAACUGAAUGUUUUUUUUUGCUGUUUUGGUUUUGUUUCCUUGGGGACCUCUCAGACAUGGUUGCUGGUUUCUUGUGUACUCCUCUGCCUGGGAUUUUCAUUGAAAAAUGGCAUUUGUUGUUAAGGUAGGGAGAGGGGGUGCAUUUCUCCUGUUGAAGCCUGCUUGGUGUUUGUGAUGUCCCUGAUUCAAUCGUACAUUAAUCAUACACAUAAACGUGUACGAUCAAGAUCAGGGACUUAUUGGAAAAUAUCAUAACAUAACUCUAAAAAUAAAAUAAGUCAUACAAGCAUCAUAAUACAAGCCAGGGGCUUCGAGGGCUCGAAUACAAGUGCUCGAUCAUAGAUGAGUCAGCGGAAGCAACAAUAUCUGAGUAUAGACAUAAGUUAAACAAGUUGCCAUAAGAUGACUAGCACAAACUGGGAUACAGAUUGAAAGAGGCGCAGGCUUCCUGCCUGGGAUCCUCUUAAACUACUCCUGGUCGUUGUCAGCGUCCUGCACGUAGUACUAGGCACCCUUGGUGCAGUAGGAGUCAUCAUUGACGGUGGCGUUUGGCUCCUGGGCUCCAGCAUCUGGUUGCGACAACCAGGUAGAAUGGAAAGAGGAAAAAGAGGGAGAAAAGCAACCGUGAGUACUCAUCCAAAGUAUCUGUGUAAAGGGCAAUAUCGGUGGACUAAACUGCAGAAUGCCAGAAUAAGACGGGGAUAGCUAGUCUUGUCGAAGAGAGUAGAUGGUAAGUUCACCAAGAUCCUCCCCUCGUCGCCCUGUGUGAGAGCGAUCACCGGUUUAUAUUUGGCACCUUGAAGGGUGUGUUUUAUUAAGUAUCCGGUUCUAGUUGUCAUAAGGUCAAGGUACAACUUCGGGUCGUCCUUUUUGAAAGAAUCGAGAUGGACCUAGAGGGGGGGGGGUGAAUAGGUACAAUUACAAAUUUUACUUGGUACUUAGCAAUUUUAGGCACUAAUGCGGAAUAUGAAAGUGAGCCUAACAAUUGCAAGUGUAGUACUAAGUGCUAAGCAAGAUAAACAAGUAACACAAGUAUACAAGUAUGUAAGUAAACAAGCACAAUAUGAUAUAAGUGCUAAGAGACAAUUAACCACAAGUAGAGAGUUAGGGUUAGGAAUAACCGGAACUUUGGGAGACGAGGAUGUAUGCCGAUGUUCACUUCCUUGGAGGGAAGCUACGUCACCGUUAGAGAGGUGGAUGUUACCACGAAGGCACCAACGCCACGAAGGCUCACCCUAUUCUCCCUUUAAGACAACACCACGAAGGCCUGGUAGACCUUGGGGUGGUCUCCAAACCCUCACAAACUUUUCCGGGGGUAAUCAGAAAGGUCGAUUCCUCUCCGAAAGACUCCUACCGCUUAGGAGUCUCCAACCUCCAAGAGUAACAAGAUCGAUGGGGAAAAUCUCAAGACUUGCUCAAAUCACGAAUUCCUUAGGUGCAAAGAAGGGGAAGAGGUGGAUCUAUCACUUGAUCGGACAACUUCUCUCCAAAGCUCUCAAAUCCCUUGGGGAUCUAAGAUUUGGUGUGGAGGAAUGAGAGAGAGAGUGAGAAGUGUUCUAGGGUUUGUUUAAAGUGAAUGGUUAACCCUCUCCUGUGAAGAAGAAGGGCUAUAUAUAGUGUGAGCACAAAUAUGGCCGUUGUAGUGCAAGUGAACGGGCAGGCCGGACAUCCGGGCUAGGGGCCGGACAUCCGGCCUGGCAAGCCACUUGAAGAACAAGGCAGAACAGAGCAGGAAACAGAGGGGUCGGACAUCCGGGUUUCAAGCUCGGACAUCCGGCACAACAGGAAAGCCCGGACAUCCGGAAGAUAGCCGGAUAUCCGGGGAGCCCACAAGCGUUUACAGAAACAUAUCAGUUUUACGGGCAGUAAGGGGCCGGAUAUCCGGGAAAGGGCCUGGACAUCCGGCGAGACAGGAAGGCCCGGAUAUCCGGCGAACACCCGGACAUCUGGCGUAAAAUAGACAACCUUCUGUAAAGGGCAAAGGCAAGAGCAAGAUAUCCGGGGCAUGAGCCGGACAUCCGGAGAGCGGCCCGAACAUCCGGCACGAGGCCCGGACAUCCGGCACUCCCAGAGACAGAAUGAUUUAAAGAUAAGGAUGGAUAAAAAGAACUAUGGGAAGGAGUAUUUUGACUAGAGCAAGUCUUUUACGAACCCAAUCGAUCCCCUCUUAAUAGUGCGGGAUCCUAUACUCAAGGAAACAAAAUGUAACAUCAUUUUAACACUUCAUUCUUGAGAGAAACCACUUCGUAUGCUCUUGAUCCACACACAAUUUGACGAACUGGGGACCAACACCUAAGAUUCACUUCACAACCAUUGUUAGUCCCCUACAUGUAGAUUGUCAUUAACAUCAAAACAUAAUGUAAGGGCAUGAUUGCAAUUUCAAUCUCUCCCUUUUUGUUUGUUGAUGACAAUCAUACAUGUAGUAUCAUAUAUAUAAUAAAUAAUCUUAGCAAUGACAAUCAUGAGAGCAAAAAGGAUACAAAAUAUGUUUAGUUACAAUUUGCUUUUAGCUCCCCCUCAUUGUGUGCAUGCGAUGAAUAUAUUAGGAUGACCAACACAAAAGUUCACAUAUGAAAUCAUCAUAACACAUCAAUUAGACUGAGAACAUUUCAUGGCCACACGAUAAUAACAUAGUCUCAGACGAACAAGUGGCCACACGAAAAUAACAUAGUCUCAAACGAACAAGUACCAUAGGUAGCAACAUAAAGUUGGAAUAACAUAUCAUAGCUAACAUAUCAUAGCAUGACCAUAUUACUAAGAUACUACUUCUCCCCCUUUGAUAGCAACAAGUAAAAAAGGGGCGAAGAACUAAACGGUCUCGGUCACUCCUGGCGGAUGUCAUCAUCAGCAACAAAGAACUCUGGGUACUCAUCAUGAGACGGGAAACCGAAGGUGGAGGUGGAUGGAGCCGCAGGAAUAGGAUCAUCAUCACUCACGGGGCUCCCACGGUCACGAAGACGCUGCUUGAGCUGAUUCUUGGAGAUGAUGAGGCGCUUCUGAACAUCAUGAUUCUGCUGACAGCUGAAAGUGACCGCCUUCAUGAUAGCAGACUGAGCCUUACCCGAGAAUGAUGCAAGACGGCCACGAGGGGCGGUCGAGGAAUAUGGAACAGAAGAACCAAUGGGCUGAGUAGGAGCAGCUGUCUUCCCACCAGCAGACCUCUUAGGCUGAGUAGGAGCAGUAGCCACCACGCGCAUAUGAGGAGGAGGCUUCCAAAUGGAGUGCAUAGCUGACUUAACCACCUCAAAGGGAGCAGUGUGAUCAAUCAGAGCCUGAAUAAAUGGAGCAUGAGGGAACUGGCGUGUCUGAAACUGCAAAGACGGAUCUCAUGCCAAAUGAAAUUGGCUGUGUCCAGAGGCUCAGUGGGUUUGUCAUGCAUACGAACCAUCAAGUCAAUGCAAUAGUUGCGAGCCCUCGAGCGAUCUCCCUUCUUAGGGUAGAGAGUGCGAAGCACACACUGAUAGAGGAUGAAGAAGGGAGCACGGAAGAUGGAUACCUCAUUGACUGGAUAUGCUUUUUCUUCUUCAGUGAGCUGAGAGGGAGGUUUUACAAGUGGCAAGCAAGCAUCAAUCCCUCUGGGCUUGUACUCUGGAUCCAUACUGUGGAUGCAAUGGCCAACACAGGAGAGACCCAAAAUCUGAACAAACCUAUCAUAGGUGAUGCUCAGUGUAGUGUCAUCGGUCAUCCAAGUGAGAGUGUUGUCCGGACCAAAGAAACAUGUGGCAUAGAACUGUAGAAUGGCAGCUUCACUCCAAUCACACCUGAAGGUCAUUGCGGGACCAAGAGUCAUAUCAUCAAUGAUCUUGACCGGAUCAUGAGGGAACAUGGCAGGAUUAUCACACAGGAAGUUUAGAUCCAAGUAUGAGUGAGGAGCAAGGCCACACCCAUGGACAAAACUGGAAUAGAGAUCCUGCUGCAUACGAGUCCGGAACCGAGGAUCUUCGGCAUCAGCCACCAUCUCAUAUUGAUUGACAUCCCGACGGAACUGAAGAUAUUGCCCCGCCCCCACAGUUGUGAAGUCGUGAGUGGGGCGACCUCCACUGUCAGGAAGCUCCAUGGAGAUGCGACGACCAUGGACAAUGGGCAUUGCAGAACCACGAACUUGAGGCACCGGCGCCCUCCUAGUACCGGGCUUGGACUGUCCAACAGACUGUCUUGGUGCACUGUCAUCCUCUUCCUCCCCAACAUAGUCUGCAUCAUCUGGAUCCGAGGCCGACGGACUGGUGGAUGGUGCCCGCUUCUUCUUCUUGGUGGUGGUCUUCUUCUUCUUAGGCCGAGCAUGCUCAUCGGAGUCGGUUGAGCCUUGCCGGCGAUCAACUGGAAAGGAUAAUGAAUAGGUUCCGAUAAGAAGAAGCCAACAAGUAGGAACACGGAUAAAAUAAUUAGCCGAGUACACAGAGAGAUUUUUAGGCUUAGGCAAGAGACACUAAAACUCGAGAAAGAUAUAGAUCCCAAGAUUUGCAUGAGAGAAUGAACCCCUAAGGUCACCAUAAAAGAGAAUGGAGUAGAGAUAGCAUCCAUACCCCGGGAAGAAGGCACGGGGCGAUUGGGGCCGCAGUUCUUGGUUCGUGCCAUGAGGAACUCCGGCGGUGAAUCCACGGUACACCGGUCCCUCCCGAGGGAUUCACACCACAACCCAAGAAAUGGAUUGGAUAGAAUCGUAGAUCGGGAGGAGGGGAAUCCGUGAGCAGGAGAUCGGGGCCGGAGGUCGAUGGAGAGGGUCGGGGCAGCACCGGAGCGCCAGCCUGGCGGCGGCGGCCGUGAGGCGAGAGGUGGAUAGAAGCGAAAGAAGUGAGUAACCGCCCCCAAAUCCCACGCCCCUCCCCAGUCAUAUGUGGCUGCGGGCGACGGGCUGGACAUCCGGGGCAAGGCCCGGAUAUCCGGCGAGCGGUAGACAGAGAACAGAAGAAGCAACGCAAUGGGCCGGACAUCCGGGUAUAACCCCGGAUAUCCGGCGCGAGGAAAUCAGGCAGCAUGGGUUCAGGGCCCGGAUGUCCGGCUGAGGCCCGGAUGUCCGGCCACUGGAAGUGGUUGAUGAUUGUUUGGAGUGGCAAGGAAAUUAUCCCAGGGCCUGGAUGUCCGGCGGGGGAGCCGGAUGUUCGGCCACUGGACAGAAGAGCAGGGCAAGGGAAAGAUGUGAAGGAGGCCAAUAAGUAUAAUUUGAUAUAGACUCCGCCAAGAAGUUUUUCUUGAGAUUAAUAAGGGUGAAAACCUGAGAAAUCUAAGGCCAUACUAAGAUGUAUUAACAAUCCAAAAUAUAUUGAGAAGGAAAGGUCCAGACAAGCAUUGUACAAGCGGUGACCAAGGUCACCAUGUUUGAGCAUAUGGAACAUGGUAUCACAAAGAUGUAAACUUUGAGCACAUGGUCACAACUCCAUCAUGUUAAAGUACCCUAGUUCGAAAACUAUGAUAACUUUGAGAGUGUUUGUUCUUUUUAUGCAUUAUGUAAGGUGAGAGUACUCAUGAAUUGAGUGUCUCCCCCUAAAUAUAUGCCUACAUCAAGACAAGACAUUUAGUUUAUGCAUGAAUGGGUACUAGAUUUCACAUAAUGUUGUCAAGCUCCAAGAUACCAAGUUCACGCCUAAGUUGACAAAACCUUGCUUCGUCCAAUGGCUUGGUGAAAAUAUCUGCAAGUUGCUUAUCUGUGCCAACAUGAGCAAUGUCAAUAUCACCCUUCUCCACAUGAUCUCUCAAGAAGUGAUACCUGAUAUCAAUAUGCUGAAGGAAAUAUGCCCUAGAGGCAAUAAUAAAGUUAUUAUUUAUUUCCUUAUAUCAUGAUAAAUGUUUAUUAUUCAUGCUAGAAUUGUAUUAACCGGAAACAUAAUACAUGUGUGAAUACAUAGACAAACAGAGUGUCACUAGUAUGCCUCUACUUGACUAGUUCGUUGAUCAAAGAUGGUUAUGUUUCCUAGCCAUAGACAUGAGUUGUCAUUUGAUUAACGGGAUCACAUCAUUAGGAGAAUGAUGUGAUUGACUUGACCCAUUCUGUUGAGGAUAUAGACCUUAGAGUCACCCGCCAGGAGGGGCCGGGUUACUCGAAUGGUCAUUGCCAGAAGCCCGGAGCCAAGUUUCAAGACGAUGGGCCAGAGAUGGGCUGAGACCCGGAUACGGCUUAAGGCCCAUAGUUACAAUCGUUAUUAUAGUAGAACUUGUAGUGUAAGGCAAGUAGGAUUGAGAGUCCGGACCGGACACUCUUAUGAGCCGGCCGGGACUCUAAGGGCUGCUGGGCGUCAGCCUCACUAUAUAAAGGGACGACCCGGCAGCGGUUUAAGGGCGACAACAAUCUCAUCAAGAGCCGGGCAUAGCUGUUUAGCUCCCUGGCGAUCUUAACCCUAAUCAAUAACACCUCAAACUGGACGUAGGCUUUUACCUUCACCGUAAGGGGCCGAACCAGUAUAAACCCUCGUGUUCCUUGUCCCGCAUAACCCCUUCAAGCUUCCUAGUUGCGAUGGCUCCACGACUAAGUCCUAGCUCGAGGACAUCUGCCGUGACAAUCCCACGACAGUUGGCGCCCACCAUGGGGCUAGCACACGGUGGAUUUGAGUUCUUGAAGGGCAGCUUCGAAGGGCUCAAGGGAUACGCUGUAGGCCGGAUGACCAAGAGUCGUCGCGGCAAGCUCUACAUCGACGAUGCGGACUGGGGCCCCGACGCCGGCUCAAUUGAGUACGGGUACCGGGUCCCCUUUGGCGGAAUUCAUGUCUUCAUUGGCAAGAUUGGUGAGCCGGGCCCCGAGCCGGAUUUGAGUUCUUGAAGGGCAGCUUCGAAGGGCUCAAGGGAUACGCUGUAGGCCGGAUGACCAAGAGUCGUCGCGGCAAGCUCUACAUCGACGAUGCGGACUGGGGCCCCGACGCCGGCUCAAUUGAGUACGGGUACCGGGUCCCCUUUGGCGGAAUUCAUGUCUUCAUUGGCAAGAUUGGUGAGCCGGGCCCCGAGCCGGAUCUCCGCGCCGAUCUCAUCGAAACGGCUCAGCGCGCACGACCCGCCCGGGCCCGGCCUGCCUUAAGGCGCGCUUUUGUGGGAUGCAUCCAUGGAGGGCCCUUUGAUCCAUCUGGGUCCGGUGAUGAGGCGGCCGCCGGCUCUGACGGCGAGUCGGCCAUCGAUGAGUCAAACUCGUUGUACCAACUUCAAGAUGGUAGGCUCAUGGGGUGUUCCGAUGGCGACAGUAUUCCGGACCUUUUUGAGCCGCCAAGUCAGGUUGGAGUUUUUAUGGCUGGUGCGCAGCCUGUUCAGAACCCCGCUGCUGGAUCGGGAAACCCGGUGCCUUCUCCGGCUCAGGUGCUGAUGGAUCUCACGGACAAGAUGACGGCCCUGUUAACCGCCACGGUUGACCCGGCAGAUCAAGCCCAGCAUGAUGCGGAGGUGGCACAGUUGAAAUUGGAUCUAAUAAAAGCUAAAGAGGAUCUUGCAGCAGAAGGAAUCAGGCUGGCUGCGGAGCGGGCGGCUCUCGACGCCCGGACUCAGCUGAUUCAGGCGCAGUCCUUCCAACUCACGAUGGAUCAGAACGCGGCCAACGAGGUCAUGAGAAGGAGGCAUCAGAAGGCCCAGUCUCGACUCCCACCGGUUUACGAUCCACGCAAUCUCUUCAACACGCCGGGUGCAGGGUCUAGUAACCCGCCAGGGGUCAUUGCGCCCGGGUCCGGACCCCUUAUUCAGCCACGGGUGAUGGGGCCUCCCCAGGUGCCCCCUGCCCCGCCUCAGUAUAUGCCAAUACCCCCGGGUCAUUAUGAUAACCCGCUGGAGAACAUGGUGGCAGCGGCAGCACGACUGGCGGCUCUCCCCGUUGACGGCGACUCUUCGGCAGCCAUCGAAACCCGCCGGGUCAGGGAACUCCUGCAGACGGCUCUGGCACAGCAAGAGGCGUACUCCUACAGCUGGGACAGGAUCCACUCGACCCCUCGUCCGGGCCAGAGCCCGAGUUAUAGCCGGCACAUGGUCUCAGCAACCGGCUCAAGUAAUGUCCGACGCCAUGACCCGCCCCUUGGCCAUGGCCCGGUUCAUAAUGGAGCUUUUUACGCAGCAGACCAAGCGCGGCAGGAGGCGGAGCAGGUGCCUCAAUUAACGGCUUACCAGACCCCCCCGGCUUAUCCAACGACUUCUGUUGAUGUGAGUAUCCCUACCAGGACCGGGGGUGUCCCUUGUUUGGUGCCAGCUAUCCGUAAUGAACGUCUGCCCAAGGACUUCAAAGGCCCUAGGAAGGUGCCUAACUAUACAACGGACUUACAGCCUGCAGCCUGGAUUGAGAGUUAUGAGAUGGCUAUGGAACUGCUGGAGGUUAGUGAGGCGGCCAUGGCCAAAUAUUUCACCAUGAUGUUAGAUGGGACUGCCCGCACGUGGUUGAAGGGGCUACCACCGAACUCCAUUGGGUCUUGGGCUGAGCUGAAAGCCCGGUUCAUUCAAAACAUCAAAGAUACCUGUAGGCAGUCUAUGUCAAUUGUGGAUUUGACUAACUGUAAGCAGCAGGAGGGUGAAUCCACGACCCAUUGGGUUCGCCAGGUCAAGGAGAUCAUACAUUCAUCAGAUAAGAUGGAUGCCGGCUCUGCAGUCUUAAUGUUGGAACAGAACUGUCGCUUUGUGCCCCUUAAAAUGAAACUCGGGCGGCUUAAACGCGACUGCACCGAUAUGGGUACCCUAAUGGCGGCUCUUGUCAAGUACGCCGAUUCUGAUGGUACCAAGGAUCCCCCUUCAGACGAUGAAAGGACAGGGAAGGGAAAGAAGAGCGGCAAUGGCAAGGGUCUUCAGUUUAACCCGGGGAACCAAGAAGGAGGCAAGCGUAAGGCCGAUGGCAGCCUAGAGUUUGUAGCCAACACCAACUCUCAAGGUAAUAACCAGCGACGCAAGGGGAGGCCCCCUCCCUGAGGCGGCGGGUCAGGGCCUUCUCUGGAGCAGCUGUUGAAUGAACCUUGUCCGAGACACGGCUCUAGAGAGAAGCCAUCGACUCAUCUGUGGAAGGAUUGUGCUAUCAUGAAGGCCUUUAAAAACUACAAUGGCCCGGGUGGCGGUUUAGGUGCCGGCGGCUCAGGCGCCGGUGGCUUUCAUGGCCCGGGCGGCGGCUCAAAUUCCGGUCCUCAGAACGGUCAAGGGGGCUUCAAUCAACAGUCGGGUCAAGGUCACCAACAGCAGCAAGGGGGUUAUCAGACCAACCCAAAGCAGCUUAGCGGUGGACAGUAUCAUGUGUUCACCACCAGUUUGUGCAAACGAGAUCAGAAGCUUCACAAGAGGGCUGUUAAUGCUGUUGAGCCGGCAGUUCCACGCUACUUACGGUGGUCUGAGCAGCCUAUAGUGUGGAGUAGGGAGGAUCACCCUCCCCGGGUGGAUAACCCGGGCCACUUGGCCUUAGUGGUGGCUCCUCAGCUGGGAGGCUAUAAGUUCACAAAGGUACUCAUGGAUGGAGGCAGCAGCAUCAAUAUCCUCUAUUAUGAGACUUUUCGCCGUAUGGGGUUGGUUGAUAAGAACCUCAGCCAGUCAAACACUAUCUUCCAUGGUGUGGUACCCGGUAAGCCGGCUUAUCCAGUUGGCAAGAUCGAAUUGGAAGUGGCUUUUGGUGAUGAGAACAACUACAGGGUGGAGAAGUUGACCUUUGAGGUGGUCAAGAUAAGAAGUCCAUACCAUGCUAUAUUUGGACGGCUGGCUUACGCCAAGUUCAUGGCACGGCCGUGUUAUGUGUACUUACAGCUCAAGAUGCCGGGUCACAAUGGGACCAUUACGGUUCACGGCAGCCGGAAAGUGGCUCUGGAGUGUGAGGAAGGUGAUGCAGCUUAUGCAGAGUCUGUUUGCGCCACAGAGGAGUUGAAGUUUUAUAAAGACAAUGUUGACCCAACAGAUAUGACCUCUCUGUAAAAGCCAACCACAGAGAAUGAACCAGCAAUGAAAUUUAAGUCAGCUGGCGAGACUAAACUUGUUGAUUUUGUUCCAGGUGACUCGUCUCAGCAGUUUAGCAUCAGUGCAAAUCUGGACCCGAAAUAGGAAAGCGCGCUCAUCGAGUUCAUCCGUGAGAAUAGGGACAUCUUCGCAUGGAAACCUUCUGACAUGCCAGGUGUACCUAGAGAACUCGCUGAGCACACUCUCAAUGUUGAUCCGAAAUUUAAGCCGGUCAGACAGUUCCUUCGGCGGUUUAAUGAAGAGAGGCGAAAAGCUAUUGGUGAAGAAGUGGCCCGGCUCUUGGCGGCCGGGUUUAUCGUUGAAGUCUUUCACCCAGAGUGGUUGGCUAACCCGGUGCUCGUGCUCAAGAAGAACGGCACCUGGCGGAUGUGUGUGGACUACACGGACUUGAACAAGGCGUGUCCGGCUGAUCCUUUUGCUCUCCCCCGUAUUGAUCAAAUCAUUGAUGCUACGGCAGGUUGUGCACGCUUAAGUUUCUUGGAUGCCUAUUCCGGGUAUCAUCAGAUUAAGAUGGCAGUUAAGGACCAGGAGAAGACGGCGUUCAUCACUCCCUUUGGAGCCUUCUGCUAUGUGUCUAUGCCCUUUGGACUCAAGUGUGCACAGGUGACUUACCAGCGUUGUGUACAGAAUUGUCUUCAUAAACAGAUCGGGCGCAAUGUUCACGCUUACGUGGAUGAUAUUGUGGUUAAAUCCAUCAAGGAGGAAACCCUGAUAGAUGACUUAAGGGAAACCUUCGAUAAUCUCCGGGUCUAUAAGAUGAUGCUCAACCCGGCCAAAUGUGUUUUUGGUGUUCCGGCAGGCAAACUAUUGGGCUUCUUGGUUUCUGACAGAGGCAUUGAGGCUAACCCGGAGAAGAUCAAGGCCAUCACCUCCCUAGCUAAGCCGGCGUGCAUAAAUGACGUACAACGCUUGGCGGGUCGCAUCGCUGCUUUAAGCCGGUUUAUAAGCCGUUUGGGUGAGAAAGCCAUGCCUUUAUAUCAGUUGAUGAAGAAAACUGAUAACUUUGUCUGGAAUGAUGCAGCUAAUACCGCCUUUGAGGAUCUGAAAAGGCAGCUGGCAGAGCCCCCAGUCCUUGCUGCUCCGGUUGAUAAGGAGCCCUUGCUACUGUAUGUGGCAGCAAACGCACGAGCCGUCAGCGUGGCUAUUGUGGUGGAGCGCAAGGAGGCGGGUAAGGAGCAUCCGGUUCAGCGGCCGGUUUAUUAUGUCAGCGAAGUGCUCAUUGAGUCCAAGCAGCGGUACCCGCAUUGGCAGAAGCUUGUGUAUGGUGUGUUCAUGGCGAGCCGGAAGCUUAAGCAUUAUUUUCAGGGUCAUCCCAUCACUGUGGUCAGUUCUGCCCCUCUUGGUGAUAUUAUUCAAAACAGAGAGGCCACAGGGAGAAUUGCUAAGUGGGCUAUAGAACUUGGGCCUCAUGGCCUUAAAUAUAUGCCACGCACUGCUGUUAAAUCUCAGGCCUUGGUGGAUUUUAUCAAUGACUGGACAGAGUCACAAGUACCUGAGCAAAAGCCAGAUAACACUUAUUGGACUAUUCAUUUUGAUGGGUCCAGACAGCUGGAGGGCUCGGGGGCUGGCGUUGUAUUAGCUUCCCCUAAGGGUGACAAGUUCCAUUAUGUGCUACAGUUGAUGUUUCCUUGCACUAACGAUGCGGCUGAGUACGAGGCUUUGCUCCACGGUCUUCGGGUGGCUAAGGAGAUGAGCUUAAGCCGGGUAAGGUGCUUUGGUGACUCAGACUUGGUGGCUCAACAAGUAUCAGACACCUGGGAUUCUAAGGAUCCUCUCAUGGCGGCUUAUCGCUGCGAGGUUGAUGCCAUUGCUGGGCAUUUUCAGGGAUACCAAGUGGAGCACAUUGAUCGCAGGAAGAAUGAGGCGGCUGACGCUUUAAGCCGGCUAGGCUCUCAGCGCAAGCCGGUGCCGCCUAACACUUUCCUGGAUGUCCUGUAUAACCCCUCGGUUAAGUUGCCUACAGAGGAGGACUUGGCUAUCCCUGACCCGGAGGCACGACUGGUGGCGGCUCUUCAUGUCAUACCAGAUUGGACAAUGCCAUAUCUGGCUUAUAUAACCCGGGGAGAGUUGCCUGAGGAUGAAACUCUGGCCAGGCAAAUAACCCGGCGGACUAAGUCAAUGAUUGUUAUCGACGGCGAGUUGCAUCAUCGCAGUGUUUCAGGGGCAUUUCAGCGUUGUAUCUCCCCUGAGGAAGGUCAAGAGAUCUUGCGCGAGAUCCAUGAAGGGGAUUGUGGCCAUCAUGCCGGCUCAAAAUCCCUUGUGGCCAAGGCUUUCCGUCAUGGUUUUUAUUGGCUGACGGCUCACGCUGAUGCAGAGGACUUGGUCAGUAAAUGUGAUGGUUGCCAAAGGUUCUCACGACGGGCUCAUGUGCCGGCUCAGGAGUUGAGGAUGAUCCCAAUCACUUGGCCCUUUGCGGUCUGGGGGCUUGAUAUGGUUGGGCCUUUUAAAAGGUCCAAGGAUAAGAAGACCCACCUCUUGGUGGCAGUUGACAAAUUCACGAAGUGGGUGGAGGCUGAGCCAGUUAGCAAGUGCGAUGCAGCCACGGCGGUUCAGUUUAUGAAAAAGGUGAUUUUCCGCUUUGGCUUCCCGCAUAGCAUCAUAACUGACAAUGGCACCAAUCUAUCCAAAGGCGCUAUGGAAGAGUUUUGUCAACGAGAGCAUAUCCGACUUGAUGUUUCCUCAGUGGCUCACCCCCAAUCCAAUGGUCAAGCUGAGAGAGCUAACCAGGAGAUUCUGAAGGGCAUCAAACCCCGGCUUUUGGUCCCUUUGCAACGGACGCCGGGUUGUUGGGUGGAGGAGUUGCCCUCCGUCUUAUGGAGCAUCAACACUACUCCUAACAGGUCUACAGGCUUCACGCCUUUCUUCAUGGUUUAUGGAGCAGAAGCAGUCCUCCCCAACGACAUCCGUCACGAUUCACCUCGCGUGGCGGCUUAUGUUGAGACGGAUAAUGAACAGGCGCGCCAAGAUGCUCUGGACUUGUUGGACGAACAACGUGAUGUGGCAGCAGCCCGUUCAGCGAUUUACCAACAAGACCUGCGCCGUUAUCAUAGCCGCCGGGUCAAAUCCCGGGUCUUUCAGGAAGGCGACCUUGUGCUCCGGCUCAUCCAGGAUCAAACAGAUGCACACAAGUUAUCCCCACCUUGGGAAGGGCCCUUUUGUGGUCAGCAAGAACUUGCACAACGGGUCAUAUUACCUCAUUGAUAUUCGGGAACAUAAAGAUUCGCGUAAGUCUGAGGAAGAGACCCGUCGGCCGUGGAACAUAGCUCAGCUUCGGCCUUACUACACUUGAGCUACCGGCUCUCGUGGUGUACAUAUUUAUCUCAGCCAUGUAUAUAUUAUGAUAAGCAAUAAAGCAGGACCUCUGUCCUUUUCUCUCCUCCAAAUAUAUGUGUGUUGUUUUUUACAUGCUGACUUAAAGGAGGAUCCGGCUUAUGAUCGUAUUCGAAUCUAGCCGUAAGCAGUAAAGUCACUUGGGGCUUCCUGUUCAAACAUGGGUCAUAUUCGAACCAAAGAGAACAUAGCUGUCGAUACCCAUUUGAUUGGCAAUGUGCCGAGCUCAUUGGGAGGUUGCCUUUGGUCAUAUUUGAACCAUAGUUUAACCCCUCUGAGAACCGACGUAGAUCGUAUUCGAAUCAGCGUCGUUAAACAAUUUUAAGAAUCACUUGGGGGCUUCCUGUUCAAACAUGGGUCGUAUUCGAACCAAAGAGAACAUAGCUGUCGGUACCCUCUUGAUUGGCAUCGCCACACCCACUCGGGGCUAUAUGAUCGUAUCCGAAUCUUGUCUUAACCCCUUUGGGCCGGGUCUCUGGUCGUAUUCGAACCGGAAGCCCCUAAGCUCUUCUGCUUUUUCACAAGUUUACCCUGAGGUAUGCAUGACCGGGUCUCACUUGCCGGCUUAACUUUGGUUUACAGUGUUAGCUGCACGUCAUGAGUGUCAUCAAGGCAAGUAAAUCAGAGUUAAGGUGUCAACCUUACUACCCGGGUUGUCUAAAACCGGCAGUAUACCUACAGGCCGUUAAGUGUGAUUGUUACGAUUAUGUUCAGAGUAUAAUUAAGGACCAGUCUUUUGUUUGAUUCAUAUUCCGGGUUGUCUAUCUCAAACACCUGAUUCUCAGGGCGGUAAGCCGCCUCGAGACCUGUGAUUUGCCUUUCUAUGCAGAUAUUUAAAGACACCUUUUGAGGUUGAGAAAAACAACGGGAUGGUUAUGACCCGGAGAAACAUCAAAGAGACAAAUUCAAAGAGCUUUCACAUUCAACCGUGCACGAUGGCACGGCAGGGAUAAACUGUUGCACCUAUUCUAUUACAAUAACUCUUCAAGUCUAAAAGGUGGAACAAUGUUUGAUAACCCGCCAGCUAACUUAUGACGCCUGCUGAGUGGAAGUCCCCGGCUCAUUUCUGUCUUCUCCUCCGGCUGAUCCCAGGACCUCGAAGGUCGAUGAUUUCCAGUUGAUGCCGCUGAGAGCUUCGAACUGGGCUUCUUCGUCAAUUAGCCCGGCCGGGUCAAUCUCCGGGGCGAAGGUGUGCUGACGAGCCGGCGGGAUCAGAUUGAGGGCUUCAUAGCGAGGGCUUGGAAUCCUCUGAUUCUCCGCAUCAUAACCCGGCUGGUACUUGGUUAAGUCGGUGUCGUUCCCGAUGAGGGUGGCCACCAGGCGUACAGCCUUCACACAUGCCGCGAAGUCCUUCUGGUCGAAGGCUGAGCCGUCUUCCUUCAGGCUUGGGUAACCCAGGGCGAUGUCUGCCGGGUCUAGCUCUGGCAGGAAUGCUUUGGCCUGGCUCAGCGCGGCAAUUGCUCCAGCUCUCGCGGAGGCCCGUCGUAGCUCCUGGAUCCGCUGCGGCAGAACAGCGAGCCGGCGCAGGACUUCGGCCAGAUGAGUUAGCACCUCGUUGGAUAGGGCCACCACAGCUAAGGCACGCUGUGACCCGGUGUAGAGCUGUUCCACCAGGGUGUACACGACCUUUAACUUGGUGACCACGCUCUGGUUGAGGUUGGCACUCCUGGGACCUGUUUCACAAGAUCAGAUAAGCCGGUGACAAGGAUGAAUCAUGACAUAUACAGACUUAAUGAAAGCCGGUGAGGCGACUUACCGAAGAUGGCGGCUACCAUUUGGGAAACCUGGCGCUUUAGGCCGGAGAGCUCGGCGGCUUUCUCAGAGAGCGCCUUCUCCGCCUGUUCCGCCCGGGUCACCAGGGCGGCCUUCUCCUCAGCCCAGGCCUUCCGCUCAGCAUCAAAUUCGGUCUUCAGCUUCUCUUGAGCGGCGAUGCUGGAGACGAACUUGGCGUUUGCCUUCCGGGUCUCCAUCUCCUGUGUCUUCAGCCGGCUCUUGAGAUCCGCAAGAUCCGACUCUAAUUUCUUGCCAAUAGCCUGCAUAUAUUUCCGGGUUAUUAAUAGUCAUUAUAUAAGUCCCAAGCGCUUUCCAAGCAAAGACACUUGGCACUUGGGGGCUAAUGCAUAUUGAAUGUAUCUAUCUGCAUACUGCCGGCUCAGUUGAGUAAGCCGGAAUCUAAGUCUACAACAUAUUCAAGACUAUGCAGUAAAGUAAGAAGACAACAGUAGGUUACCUCGGACUUUUGUUGGAUUUGGUUAACCAUGGCAACCUCGGCGUCCCGGCUCUUGUGGACUUGGUUGAUGUAGCCAGAGACGAGCUCUCCAAUGCUCAAGUCGGUGUAGCCGGAGAGGUCUAGGUUCACCCGGUGGGGCUGCAGUAACUCCCCCUUCGUGGAGCACUUGGCCAACGCGGUCGGUCUCCCCAGCUCAACGAAUUCCGUCCGGGUGAUUACCACGUCCGGGUCGUCUGCUGGAGGGGCUGAGCCGGAGGCCUCCGGGUUAACCGCCGCUUCGGUCGUUGCCUUGGUAGUCGGGGCAGGGGCUUCAGGCGCCGUGUCCAUUGGAAUGGUGGCUUCGGGGGCGGAGGAACCCGGCGGUUCUUGAGCCGUCGCCUCCGGGUCAGGCAAGUCUGGCACUCCGGCUGACCUGGUUUUCUUUGCUCUUUUGGUGAGCUUUGCCUGGGCACUGAAAAAACAGAAGUGUUAGGCACACAAAGAGUAAGUACAGACAGAUAAUGUAAGGAGAUUGUUAUUACCCGAGUGCAGUCUUGAAGGCCGGCAGACUUGACUGCAUGGAGUCACCCGAAGAUGGGGAGGUCUCCUGAUAAUUAGAGUCAGAAGAGUUGAGUGGCUGACGGAUAACACCCGCCAACGGAUGAAAAGGGUACAGGUGAGAAAAACCUCAGUACGACGCUUCCUGGUUGCGUCGGGUAACCCGGCGGGGAGGUCGGUGUCUUUGCGGGCCCGGGUGUGACGCCGGCUUUCGUGAACCUGCUGCUUCAAAAGAAAUUGAGGGUCUUGAUGAGCUAAAGGAUGUGAAAAGCUUACAUUUCGGGUUACCCUUCAGACUUUCAGCUGUGGCAAAGGCUCCGAGUCGGAGGAAAGUGACAUUACCUCUUCAACCACCGGGUUAUUGGCGCCGGUGUCAUCCUGUCAAUAAGCAAAUGUUGAUAAGGCGGACAUAAACAAACAACAAAUAUGACAAGAAUUUAAAGGUUUAACGAUUACCUCUGACUCGGAGCUGUCGCUUAAUUGCAGUAGCUCCGAAGCAGUGGGCCUGCUUCCCUUUUUGCGAGGGGCGGCUUUCUUGGCGGCUUUCUUCGCCUUCCUGGCCUUCUUGGCCGCCUCAUGGUCAUACUUGACCCGCCAGAAUUUGUCAUCAGCCUGAGAAAUACAGUAAUGAAUUCUUAAAACGGUUCAGAUCAAGGUGAUAUGUAAAAGAAGUUGAAAAGUUAAAGUCAGCGGCUUACCGCUGGGGCUGGAUUGGUCUUGCAGAAGGGGGCUAGCCCGGUUCUUCCGCAGUCUGCCAAGCUCUCGUUUAGAAGAGCCUUGGUCUCUUCCUCCGCAACGUCUUCUGGAAGAUCAUUGCGACUGUGCCUCUGCGGGUCAUCCUUUCGCCCGGUGUACUCACACAUUAAGCCGGGGCGGCGGCUCAAUGGGAUCACCCGCCAUGAGAUCCAGACCCGGACCAGAUCAAUUCCGUUCAGACCGUUGCCUAGCAGGGCCUUGAUCUUGUUGAUCGUUGGAAGCAGAGGCUGGCGUUCCGCGGCAGUCAGUUUGUCGGAUAGCGGGUGAGUCGGCUCUAGGCGUGUUGGGCGAAAGCCGGGCAGCGGGUUCUCAUCAGCCGGGGACGUAUCUUGGCAGUAGAACCAAGUCAUAUUCCAGUCCUUCGGGUGGCUCGGCGGCUCUGCGUAAGGAAACAGACAGUCCCUACGCCGCUGGAUGGAGAUGCUACCUAAUUCCAGACUUGGCCCGUUGGCACACUCAUUUUGGCGGUUUAAAUAAAACAGCUCUCUGAAGAGCAGCAGACUCGGCUCUUCUCCAAGAUACACUUCACAAAAGACUUGGAAGUUGCAGAUGUUGGAUACGGAGUUGGGUCCUAUAUCCUGAGGCCGAAGGUCAAAGAAGUUGAGCACGUCCCUGAAGAACUUUGAGCCGGGCGGUGCGAAGCCCCGGCUCAUAUGGUCUGCAAAGAUCACUACCUCCCCGUCCCUCGGCUGUGGUCUUUCUUCUGACGGAUCAGGGGCACGGUAGGACAUCACUUCCUUCUUGGGCAGAUAUCCGGACUUAACGAAGUUGGCCAGGGUCUCGUCAGUGACGUUGGAUCUCAUCUAGUUGCAAGUGAUGGGAGCCUUGGGAGGCAUGGUGAAGGUUGGUGCUCUAUGAUAAAGAGAAAAAUGUCCGGGUUAAUUGUAAGCCGGAGAUUAUCAUUCAAACUAAGAUGGCGGCUUAUGAAGGGGACUAAUGAUAUAUAUUCAGAUACGGUGGGUUAUUUAAGCCGUAGGGGGUUCAGAGUAAAUUGGUUAUUUACGGCUUUACUACAGUUAAGCCGGAGGAUUCUACAGAGCAUGGUUCUCUUUAAACCGGGAAGUUCUACGGCGUGUGUUUUCUUUAAGCCGGAAAUGUAAGCCGCCAAGAUUCGAGGGCUGCAGUUUUUGUUAAGUGUGGUAAAACAGGUUUCACGUAUUGCAGUAACUUUUUUGGAUCAAAAUGGUCGGGUGAAAUGAAAAUUUUCUAGACCUAAAAAACAGAGGCAGGAGAAGUUCUUGAGGCUGAACACAGUUCUUAUGCAGUAAAAAGAGGGUUUCUUGCAGAUGAAAUGGAUCUCAAACAUCUAACGCAGUGGUUCUAUGCAAGGUUAAAGAUCAACCAAGUACAGUGGCAACAAGGACUACCGAAGCUUGUGGCUAUGGUGACGAACAUGAAGAACACAGACGAACUCUACCACAGAUCUGUUCUAGCAAGGCAGAGGAGACUCACCGGAGUUGGGGAAGAGCGGAAGUCGCCGCCGUUAUCUGGUCCGAGUCAGGGUGAUGCAGCGGCCGGGUUGAUGAAGAUCAAGGGCGCGACGGCGGCGGCAGUGGUAGAGCUCGGGCAGAAGGGCGACGGCGCGAGGAGGAAGAAAGAGAGCGUGGGAAGAGCACGUUGGGCCGGCCUAUUUAUAAGGCGAAGUCAUAAGUGGGCGCGAGAUUCAAGGAGACCAUGGCGUGGUUAUCUCCCCCUCACGACGCCUCGAUUUUCGGAAGGACAGUAAAAGCAAAGAUCCGUUGCGGAUCUGGCGGAGUAAAAAACGGACUUAAUGGAGGAUGACGUCACGGCGGAUUAUCCGGAGUCCAGAGGAUGACGUCACUCCGGGUUAUGGCCUUCACACGAAUGGUAAGCCGGAGAUUUUUUCUGUUGGCAGAGUUGAAGAUUGACAUGAGCCGGCUCAAGUCAAUCUGGGGCCUAAUGUUGAGGAUAUAGACCUUAGAGUCACCCGCCAGGAGGGGCCGGGUUACUCGAAUGGUCAUUGCCAGAAGCCCGGAGCCAAGUUUCAAGACGAUGGGCCAGAGAUGGGCUGAGACCCGGAUACGGCUUAAGGCCCAUAGUUACAAUCGUUAUUAUAGUAGAACUUGUAGUGUAAGGCAAGUAGGAUUGAGAGUCCGGACCGGACACUCUUAUGAGCCGGCCGGGACUCUAAGGGCUGCUGGGCGUCAGCCUCACUAUAUAAAGGGACGACCCGGCAGCGGUUUAAGGGCGACAACAAUCUCAUCAAGAGCCGGGCAUAGCUGUUUAGCUCCCUGGCGAUCUUAACCCUAAUCAAUAACACCUCAAACUGGACGUAGGCUUUUACCUUCACCGUAAGGGGCCGAACCAGUAUAAACCCUCGUGUUCCUUGUCCCGCAUAACCCCUUCAAGCUUCCUAGUUGCGAUGGCUCCACGACUAAGUCCUAGCUCGAGGACAUCUGCCGUCACUAUCCCACGACACAUUCCGUUAGCUUAGCACUCGAUCGUUUAGUAUGUUGCUAUUGCUUUCUUCAUGACUUAUACAUGUUCCUAUGACUAUGAGAUUAUGCAACUCCCAUUUACCGGAGGAACACUCUGUGUGCUACCAAACGUCACAACGUAACUGAGUGAUUAUAAAGGUGCUCUACAGGUGUCUUCAAAGGUACUUGUUGGGUUGGCGUAUUUCGAGAUUAGGAUUUGUCACUCCGAUUGUCGGAGAGGUAUCUCUGGGCCCACUCAGUAAUACACAUCACUUUAAGGCUUGCAAGCAUUGUGACUAAUGAGUUAGUUACGGGAUGAUGUAUUACGGAACGAGUAAAGGGACUUGCCGUUAACGAGAUUGAACUAGGUAUCGAGAUACCGACGACCGAAUCUCGGGCAAGUAACAUACCGAUGACAAAGGGAACAACGUAUGUUGUUAUGCGGUCUGACCGAUAAAGAUCUUCGUAGAAUAUGCAGGAACCAAUAUGAGCAUCCAGGUUCCGCUAUUGGUUAUUGACCGGAGAGGUGUCUCGGUCAUGUCUACAUAGUUCUCGAACCCGUAGGGUCCGCACGCUUAACGUUACGAUGACAGUUAUAUUAAGAGUUUAUAUGUUUUGAUGUACCGAAGGUUGUUCGGAGUCCCGGAUGUGAUCACGGACAUGACGAGGAGUCUCGAAAUGGACGAGACAUAAAGAUUGAUAUAUUGGAAGCCUAUGUUUGGACAUCGGAAGUGUUCCGGGUGAAAUCGGGAUUUUUCCGGAGUAGCGGGAGGUUACCGGAACCCCCCAGUAACUUAAUGGGCCUUAGUGGGCCUAGGUGGAAGAGAGGAGAGGAGGCCAGGGCAGGGCCGUGCGCCCCUUCCCCCCAGUCCGAAUAGGACAAGGAGAGGGGGGCGGCGCCCCCCUUCCUUCCUCCCCUCCACCUCUUCCCCCUUUCUCUCCUAGUCCAACAUGGAAAAGGGGGGGGAGUCCUACUCCCGGUAGGAGUAGGACUCCUGGCGCGCCUCUCCUCUAGGCCGGCCGAACCCCCCCCCCCUUGCUCCUUUAUAUACGGGGGCAGGGGGGCACCUCUAUACACACAAUUGAUCAUUGAUCUCUUAGCCGUGUGCGGUGCCCCCCUCCACCAUAUUACACCUCGAUAAUAUCGUAGCAAUGCUUAGGCGAAGCCCUGCAUCGGUAGAACAUCAACAUUGUCACCACGCCGUCGUGCUGACGAAACUCUCCCUCAACACUCGGCUGGAUCGGAGUUCGAGGGAUGUCAUCGAGCUGAACGUGUGCUGAACUCGGAGGUGCCGUGAGUUCGGUACUUGAUCGGUCGGAUCGUGAAGACGUACGACUACAUCAACCGUGUUGUGUUAAACGCUUCCGCUAUCGGUCUACGAGGGUACGUGGACAACACUCUCCCCUCUCGUUGCUAUGCAUCACCAUGAUCUUGCGUGUGCGUAGAAUUUUUUUGAAAUUACUACGUUCCCCAACAGUGGCAUCCGAGCCAGGUUUUAUGCGUUGAUGUUAUGCACGAGUAGAACACAAGUGAGUUGUGGGCGAUAUAAGUCAUACUGCUUACCAGCAUGUCAUACUUUGGUUCGGCGGUAUUGUGAGAUGAAGCGGCCCGGACCGACAUUACGCGUACGCUUACGCGAGACUGGUUUCACCGUUGCGAGCACUCGUUGCUUAAAGGUGACUGGCGGGUGUCUGUCUCUCUCAAUUUAGUUGAACCGAGUAUGGCUACGCCCGGUCCUUGCGAAGGUUAAAGCAGCACCAACUUGACAAACUAUCAUUGUGGUUUUGAUGCGUAGGUAAGAACGGUUCUUGCUAAGCCCGUAGCAGCCACGUAAAACUUGCAACAACAAAGUAGAGGACGUCUAACUUGUUUUUGCAGGGCAUGUUGUGAUGUGAUAUGGUCAAGACGUGAUGCUAUAUUUUAUUGUAUGAGAUGAUCAUGUUUUGUAACCGAGUUAUCGGCAACUGGCAGGAGCCAUAUGGUUGUCGCUUUAUUGUAUGCCAUGCAAUCGCCAUGUAAUUGUUUUACUUUAUCACUAAGCGGUAGCGAUAGUCGUAAAAGCAAUAGUUGGCGAGACGACAACGAUGCUACGAUGGAGAUCAAGGUGUCGCGCCGGUGACGAUGGUGAUCAUGACGGUGCUUCGGAGAUGGAGAUCACAAGCACAAGAUGAUUAUGGCCAUAUCAUAUCACUUAUAUUGAUUGCAUGUGAUGUUUAUCUUUUAUGCAUCUUAUCUUGCUUUGAUUGACGGUAGCAUUAUAAGAUGAUCUCUCACUAAAAUUUCAAGAUAAAAGUGUUCUCCCUGAGUAUGCACCGUUGCCAAAGUUCGUCGUGCCCAGACACCACGUGAUGAUCGGGUGUGAUAAGCUCUACGUCCAUCUACAACGGGUGCAAGCCAGUUUUGCACACGCAGAAUACUCAGGUUAAACUUGACGAGCCUAGCAUAUGCAGAUAUGGCCUCGGAACACUGAGACCGAAAGGUCGAGCGUGAAUCAUAUAGUAGAUAUGAUCAACAUAGUGGUGUUCACCAUUGAAAACUACUCCAUUUCACGUGAUGAUCGGUUAUGGUUUAGUUGAUUUGGAUCACGUAAUCACUUAGAUGAUUAGAGGGAUGUCUAUCUAAGUGGGAGUUCUUAAGUAAUAUGAUUAAUAGAACUUAAAUUUAUCAUGAACUUAGUACCUGAUAGUAUCUUGCUUGUCUAUGUUAAUUGUAGAUAGAUGGCCCGUGCUGUUGUUCCGUUGAAUUUUAAUGCGUUCCUUGAGAAAGCAAAGUUGAAAGAUGAUGGUAGCAAUUACACGGACUGGGUCCGUAACUUGAGGAUUAUCCUCAUUGCUGCACAGAAGAAUUACGUCCUGGAAGCACCGCUAGGUGCCAGGCCUGCUGCAAGAGCAACACCAGAAGUUAUGAACGUCUGGCAGAGCAAAGCUGAUGACUACUCGAUAGUUCAGUGUGCCAUGCUUUACGGCUUAGAACCGGGUCUUCAACGACGUUUUGAACGUCAUGGAGCAUAUGAGAUGUUCCAGGAGUUGAAGUUAAUAUUUCAAGCAAAUGCCCGGAUUGAGAGAUAUGAAGUCUCCAAUAAGUUCUACAGCUGCAAGAUGGAAGAGAAUAGUUCUGUCAGUGAGCAUAUACUCAAAAUGUCUGGGUAUAAUAAUCACUUGAUUCAACUGGGAGUUAAUCUUCCGGAUGAUAGCGUCAUUGACAGAAUUCUUCAAUCAUUGCCACCAAGCCACAAGAGCUUCGUAUGAACUAUAACAUGCAAGGGAUGAACAAGACAAUUCCCGAGCUCUUCGCAAUGCUAAAGGCAGCGGAGGUAGAAAUCAAAAAGGAGCAUCAAGUGUUGAUGGUCAAUAAGACCACCAGUUUCAAGAAAAAGGGCAAAGGGAAGAAGAAGGGGAACUUCUUGCUGUUCAGGAGAAGAAACCCAAAUCUGGACCUAAGCCUGAGACUGAGUGCUUCUACUGCAAGCAGACUGGUCACUGGAAGCGGAACUGCCCCAAGUAUUUGGCGGAUAAGAAGGAAGGCAAGGUGAACAAAGGUAUAUGUGAUAUACAUGUUAUUGAUGUGUACCUUACCAGAGCUCGCAGUAGCACCUGGGUAUUUGAUACUGGUUCUAUUGCUAAUAUUUGCAACUCGAAACAGGGACUAUGGAUUAAGUGAACACUGGCCAAGGACGAGGUAACGAUGCGCGUGGGAAACGGUUCCAAAGUCGAUGUGAUCGCCGUCGGCACGCUACCUCUACAUCUACCUUCGGGAUUAGUAUUAGACCUAAAUAAUUGUUAUUUGGUGCCAGCGUUGAGCAUGAACAUUAUAUCUGGAUCUUGUUUAAUGCGAGACGGUUAUUCAUUUAAAUCAGAGAAUAAUGGUUGUUCCAUUUAUAUGAGUAAUAUCUUUUAUGGUCAUGCACCCUUGAAGAGUGGUCUAUUUUUAAUGAAUCUCGAUAGUAGUGACACACAUAUUCAUAAUGUCGAAGCCAAAAGAUGCAGAGUUGAUAAUGAUAGUGCAACUUAUUUGUGGCACUGCCGUGUCUCAUGGGCAAGAUGACUAAAACACCGUUCUCCGGAACUAUGGAGAGAGCAACUGAUUUGUUGGAAAUCAUACAUACAGAUGUAUGUGGUCCGAUGAAUAUUGAGGCUCGUGGCGGAUAUCGUUAUUUUCUCACCUUCACAGAUGAUUUGAGCAGAUAUGGGUAUAUCUACUUAAUGAAACAUAAGUCUGAAACAUUUGAAAAGUUCAAAGAAUUUCAGAGCGACGUUGAAAAUCAUCGUAACAAGAAAAUAAAGUUUCUACGAUCAGAUCGUGGAGGAGAAUAUUUGAGUUACGAGUUUGGCCUACAUUUGAAACAAUGCGGAAUAGUUUCGCAACUCACGCCAUCCGGAACACCACAACGAAAUGGUGUGUCCGAACGUCGUAAUCGUACUUUACUAGAUAUGGUGCGAUCUAUGAUGUCUCUUACUGAUUUACCGCUAUCGUUUUGGGGUUAUGCUUUAGAGACGACUGCAUUCACUCUAAAUAGGGCACCAUCGAAAUCCGUUGAGACGACGCCUUAUGAACUAUGGUUUGGCAAGAAACCAAAGUUGUCGUUUCUUAAAGUUUGGGGUUGCGAUGCUUAUGUGAAGAAACUUCAACCUGAUAAGCUCGAACCUAAAUCGGAGAAAUGUGUCUUCAUAGGAUACCCAAAGGAGACUGUUGGGUAUACCUUCUAUCACAGAUCCGAAGGCAAAACAUUCAUUGCUAAGAAUGGAUCCUUUCUAGAGAAGGAGUUUCUUUCGAAAGAAGUGAGUGGGAGGAAAGUAGAACUUGAUGAGGUAACUGUACCUGCUCCCUUAUUGGAAAGUAGAUCAUCACAGAAACUAGUUUCUGCGACACCUAUGGCAAUUAGUGGGGAAGUUAAUGAUAAUGAUCAUGAAACUUCAGAUCAAGUUAUUACUGAACCUCGUAGGUCAACCAGAUUAAGAUCCGCACCAGAGUGGUACGGUAAUCCUGUUCUGGAGGUUAUGUUACUAGACCAUGACGAACCUACGAACUAUGAAGAAGCGAUGGUGAGCCCAGAUUCCGCAAAAUGGCUUGAAGCCAUGAAAUCCGAGAUGGGAUCCAUGUAUGAGAACAAAGUAUGGACUUUGGUUGACUUGCCCGAUGAUCGGCAAGCCAUUGAAAAUAAAUGGAUCUUCAAGAAGAAGACUGACGCUGAUGGUAAUGUUACUGUCUAUAAAGCUCGACUUGUUGCGAAAGGUUUUCGACAAGUUCAAGGGAUUGACUACGACGAGACUUUCUCACCCGUAGCGAUGCUCAAGUCUGUUCGAAUCAUGUUAGCAAUUGCCGCAUUUUAUGAUUAUGAAAUUUGGCAAAUGGAUGUCAAAACUGCAUUCCUGAAUGGAUUUCUGGAAGAAGAGUUGUAUAUGAUGCAACCGGAAGGUUUUGUAGAUCCAAAGGGAGCUAACAAAGUAUGCAAGCUCCAGCGAUCCAUUUAUGGACUGGUGCAAGCCUCUCGGAGUUGGAAUAAACGCUUUGAUAGUGUGAUCAAAGCAUUUGGUUUUAUACAGACAUUUGGAGAAGCCUGUAUUUACAAGAAAGUGAGUGGGAGCUCAGUAGCAUUUCUGAUAUUAUAUGUGGAUGACAUAUUGCUGAUUGGAAAUGAUAUAGAAUUUCUGGAUAACAUAAAGGGAUACUUGAAUAAGAGUUUUUCAAUGAAAGACCUCAGUGAAGCUGCAUAUAUAUUAGGCAUCAAGAUCUAUAGAGAUAGAUCAAGACGCUUAAUUGGACUUUCACAAAGCACAUACCUUGACAAAGUUUUGAAGAAGUUCAAAAUGGAUCAAGCAAAGAAAGGGUUCUUGCCUGUACUACAAGGUGUGAGAUUGAGUAAGACUCAAUGCCCGACCACUGCAGAAGAUAGAGAGAAGAUGAAAGAUGUUCCCUAUGCUUCAGCCAUAGGCUCUAUCAUGUAUGCAAUGCUGUGUACCAGACCUGAUGUGUGCCUUGCUAUAAGUUUAGCAGGGAGGUACCAAAGUAAUCCAGGAGUGGAUCACUGGACAGCGGUCAAGAACAUACUGAAAUACCUGAAAAGGACUAAGGAUAUGUUUCUCGUUUAUGGAGGUGACAAAGAGCUCAUCGUAAAUGGUUACGUUGAUGCAAGCUUUGACACUGAUCCGGACGAUUCUAAAUCGCAAACCGGAUACGUGUUUACAUUGAACGGUGGAGCUGUCAGUUGGUGCAGUUCUAAGCAAAGUGUCGUGGCGGGAUCUACGUGUGAAGCUGAGUACAUAGCUGCUUCGGAAGCAGCAAAUGAAGGAGUCUGGAUGAAGGAGUUCAUAUCCGAUCUAGGUGUCAUACCUAGUGCAUCGGGUCCAAUGAAAAUCUUUUGUGACAAUACUGGUGCAAUUUCCUUAGCAAAGGAAUCCAGAUUUCACAAAAGAACCAAGCACAUCAAAAGACGCUUCAAUUCCAUCUGGGAUUUAGUCCAGGUGGGAGACAUAGAAAUUUGCAAGAUACAUACGGAUCUGAAUGUUGCAGACCCGUUGACUAAGCCUCUUCCACGAGCAAAACAUGAUCAGCACCAAGACUCCAUGGGUGUAAGAAUCAUUACUGUGUAAUCUAGAUUAUUGACUCUAGUGCAAGUGGGAGACUGAAGGAAAUAUUCCCUAGAGGCAAUAAUAAAGUUAUUAUUUAUUUCCUUAUAUCAUGAUAAAUGUUUAUUAUUCAUGCUAGAAUUGUAUUAACCGGAAACAUAAUACAUGUGUGAAUACAUAGACAAACAGAGUGUCACUAGUAUGCCUCUACUUGACUAGCUCGUUGAUCAAAGAUGGUUAUGUUUCCUAGCCAUAGACAUGAGUUGUCAUUUGAUUAACGGGAUCACAUCAUUAGGAGAAUGAUGUGAUUGACUUGACCCAUUCUGUUAGCUUAGCACUCGAUCAUUUAGUAUGUUGCUAUUGCUUUCUUCAUGACUUAUACAUGUUCCUAUGACUAUGAGAUUAUGCAACUCCCAUUUACCGGAGGAACACUCUGUGUGCUACCAAACGUCACAACGUAACUGAGUGAUUAUAAAGGUGCUCUACAGGUGUCUCCAAAGGUACUUGUUGGGUUGGCGUAUUUCGAGAUUAGGAUUUGUCACUCCGAUUGUCGGAGAGGUAUCUCUGGGCCCACUCAUUAAUACACAUCACUUUAAGGCUUGCAAGCAUUGUGACUAAUGAGUUAGUUACGGGAUGAUGUAUUACGGAACGAGUAAAGGGACUUGCCGGUAACGAGAUUGAACUAGGUAUCGAGAUACCGACAACCGAAUCUCGGGCAAGUAACAUACCGAUGACAAAGGGAACAACGUAUGUUGUUAUGCGGUCUGACCGAUAAAGAUCUUCGUAGAAUAUGCAGGAACCAAUAUGAGCAUCCAGGUUCCGCUAUUGGUUAUUGACCGGAGAGGUGUCUCGGUCAUGUCUACAUAGUUCUCGAACCCGUAGGGUCCGCACGCUUAACGUUACGAUGACAGUUAUAUUAAGAGUUUAUAUGUUUUGAUGUACCAAAGGUUGUUCGGAGUCCCGGAUGUGAUCACGGACAUGACGAGGAGUCUCGAAAUGGACGAGACAUAAAGAUUGAUAUAUUGGAAGCCUAUGUUUGGACAUCGGAAGUGUUCCGGGUGAAAUCGGGAUGUUUUCGGAGUACCGGGAGGUUACCGGAACCCCCCAGUAACUUAAUGGGCCUUAGUGGGCCUAGGUGGAAGAGAGGAGAGGAGGCCAGGGCAGGGCCGCGUGCCCCUUCCCCCCAGUCCGAAUAGGACAAGGAGAGGGGGGCAGCGCCCCCCUUCCUUCCUCCCCUCCACCUCUUCCCCCUUUCUCUCCUAGUCCAACAUGGAAAAGGGGGGGGGGGAGUCCUACUCCCGGUAGGAGUAGGACUCCUCCUGGCGCGCCUCUCCUCUAGGCCGGGCGAACCCCCCUUGCUCCUUUAUAUACGGGGGCAGGGGGGCACCUCUAUACACACAAUUGAUCAUUGAUCUCUUAGCCGUGUGCGGUGCCCCCCUCCACCAUAUUACACCUCGAUAAUAUCGUAGCAGUGCUUAGGCGAAGCCCUGCGUCGGUAGAACAUCAACAUUGUCACCACGCCGUCGUGCUGACGAAACUCUCCCUCAACACUCGGCUGGAUCGGAGUUCGAGGGACGUCAUCGAGCUGAACGUGUGCUGAACUCGGAGGUGCCGUGCGUUCGGUACUUGAUCUGUCAGAUCGUGAAGACGUACGACUACAUCAACCGCGUUGUGUUAAACGCUUCCGCUAUCGGUCUACGAGGGUACGUGGACAACACUCUCCCCUCUCGUUGCUAUGCAUCACCAUGAUCUUGCGUGUGCGUAGAAUUUUUUUGAAAUUACUACGUUCCCCAACAUAUGCUUGGUGCGAGUAUGAUCUUUGGGGUUCUCAGCAAUAUUGAUGGCACUUUCAUUAUCACAUAGAAGAGGCACAUGUCUAUAGGUGAUACCAUAAUCCUUCAAAGUUUGCCUCAUCCAUAGUAAUUGAGUUGCACAGCUGGCGGUCGCAAUGUAUUCAGCUUCUGCGGUGGAGAGGCCAACACAAUUUUGUUUCUUCGAGGACGAACUUACCAAGGAGCGUCCAAGAAAUUGACAUGCACCGGAGGUGGACUUACGAUCCACCUUGUCUCCGGCCCAAUCCGCAUCCGUGUACCCAAUGAGAUCAAACUUAGCAUCCUUGGGGUACCAUAGUCCUAACUUUGGGGUGUGAACAAGGUAUCUAAGAAUAUGCUUAACCGCCUUAUGAUGGCUUUCCAUAGGGAAAGGUUGAAAUCUAGCACACAUGCAUACACUAAACAUGAUGUCUGGUCUAGAUGCACAAAGAUAAAGCAACGAACCAAUCAUAGAGCAGUAUUUAGAUGGGUCGAAUGGGGGUACCGUUUGAGUCUGCAGUGAGUACAAUUUUGGUUGGCAUGGGUGUCUUACAUGGGCUAGCAUUAGUCAUGCCAAAUUUUGCUAGGAUAUCCUUGAGGUAUUUUGCUUGAGACAAGAAAAUUCCUUCUUGAAAUUGUUGAAUUUGAAAUCCGAGGAAGAACUUCAAAUCCGUAUUGAGUGACAUUUCAAAAUUCUUGGUCAUUGAAGCCGCAAACUUCUUGCACAAAUGAAUGUUAGGAGAACCAAAAAUGAUAUCAUCUACAUAGAUUUGGCAUAAGAUCAAAUCACCUUUGUCCCUCUUAGUAAAAAGAGUGGGAUCGAUCACCCCUCUCACAAAACCAUCAUCGAGUAAAAACUUCUUAAGAUGAUCAUACCAAGCACGAGGUGCUUGUUUGAGGCCAUACAAAGCCUUAUGAAGUUUAUACACAUAGUCUUUUUGAUCGGGAUCAACGAACCCAGGUGGUUGUGAUACAUAUACUUCUUCUUGCAGAGGACCGUUAAGGAAAGCACUCUUCACAUCCAUUUGAUGUAAUGUAAAACCAUUGAAAGCAGCAUAAGCAAGUAAGAUGCGAAUGGAUUCAAGACGGGCAACGGGGGCAAAGGUCUCACCAAAGUCCAAACCUUCAACUUGUGAGUACCCUUGUGCCACUAACCUUGCCUUGUUGCGGAUGAUUAACCCAUUCUCAUCUUGCUUGUUCUUGAAAACCCAUUUUGUUCCAAUGACAUUGUGUUCCGUAGUUGGCCUUUUGACUAAUGACCACACUUGGUUGCGCUCAAAACUAUUCAACUCUUCUUGCAUAGCAAUGAGCCAAUCAUUGUCCAUAAAAGCUUCUUGUACCUUGAGAGGUUCAACACUAGACACAAACGAGAAGUGAGCACAAAAGUUUGUCAAUUGUUUACGAGUGACUCUACCUUCCGAUAUGCCGGUGAGGAUUUUAUCAAUAUCAACACGACCGGCCACUCGAGGCAUGAUGGAGGUAAGUGUUUCACGAGGUUCAACUUCAUGUCCAUCAUCCACGUCCUCAACAUAUGGAUCAUUAAUGUGUGGUGGAAGAUCUUCUUCUUCAUCUUGCAUUUGUUGAGGUUCAUUGUCAAUGAUUACACUUUAUUGUUCUUGCCCUUGAGGAUGAUCUUGCUCUUGAUGAUCACUAUGAAGAGGAGCUUGAUCAUCAUCUUGUAUUUGGUCUACGGGCAUUGGUUGAACAAUGGGAGCUUGUGGUGGUAUGGGUGUUGACGUAGUUUGAUGAUGUGCGAAGCUUCCAUCUUCUUCUUCAUCAUCAUGAGGUUCUUGUUCCAUUGGGAGAAGUGCGCCAACACCCAUGUCAAGAUAUCUUGAGAAGAAUCGUCUUCACCUACAUCACUUAGAUUAACUUGCUCCCCAUGGGAGCCAUUAAAUUCAUCAAACACCACGUCACAAGUUUCUACAACACAUCCAUUGGAUUUGUUGUAGACUCUAUAGGCAUGAGAGUUUGAUCCAUAGCCAACAAAUAUACCCUCAGUUGUUUUAGAUUGAAAUUUUCCUAACCAUUCUCUUUUGUUGAUGAAGCAUUUGCACCGAAAUACACGAAAGUACUUGACAUUUGGCUUGUUCCCGGUUAGGAGCUCAUAUGGAGUCUUUUCCAACAUCGUGCGGAGGAAGAGCCGGUUUGAUGCAUGACAUGCAGUGUUGACGGCCUCGGCCCGAAAACUAUGUGGUGACUUGUAUUCAUCUAACAUGGACCUUGCCAUCUCCACAAGUGUGCGGUUCUUUCUUUCUGCUACACCAUUUUGCUGGGGAGUGUAUGGAGCUGAAUAUUGAUGCUCAAUCCCUUCAUCAGUAAGGAACUCUUGCAAGGUGUAGUUCUUGAACUCAGAUCCAUUAUCACUUCUUAUUGCCAGAAUUUCUUUGUCAAACUUGCGUUGUGCUUGCUUGGCAAAAUCAAUGAAGGUGAUCUUCGUCUCGUCCUUGGAUUUGAGGAAGAAGACCCAUGUAUACCUUGAGUAAUCAUCCACAAUGACAAGCCCAUACUUUUUCCCACCAAGACUAUCCCAUGAAGGAGGCCCAAAAAGAUCCACAUGAAGGAGCUCCAAAGGCGUUGAAGUAGACACAAUAUUCUUGGGUGGGUGCUUUGAUUGACGUUGCUUCCCGGCUAUGCAUGCACUACACACACGAUCUUUCUCAAAGGAGACAUUUUUUAGUCCAAGGAUGUGAUUUCCCUUUAAGAGAUCUUGAAGAUUUCUCAUGCCGACAUGGGCUAGCCGGCGAUGCCAUAGCCACCCCUUGUCGGCCUUAGCCAUUAGACAAGUUGCAUGGAAUGUGCUCUCUUUCGAGAAAUCAACCGUGUAAAGGUUGCCAUCCAACUCUCCAAUAAAGGACACUUCGAGAGUAUCUCUCUUAAAGACUUUCACAUCCGUUAGUCCAAAUAGUGUAUCAUAACCAACAGAAGCCAAUUGGCGAACAGAAAGCAAAUGAUAUUUAAGGGAUUGGACAAGCAUGACAUUUGCAAGAGACAUGUCAUUUGUGAUAGCCACCUUACCCAAACCGAGUACCUGUCCUUUUGAUCCUCCACCAAACAUAAUGCUCAUAAAUGGUUGAAUAGCUUCCAUGAAAUCGUAGAGCAAUUUGCUAUCUCCGGUCAUAUGAUUGGUACAUCCACUAUCAAGCACCCAUUUUACUCCACCGGAGAAGGCAACCUACACACAAUUAUUACUUGGUUAGAGGCACCCAUUUUGCAAUGGGACCUCUCAAGUUAGUCACAAGGGUCUUAGGGACCCAAAUAGCAUAAAACCAAAAUGCAUUUCGAGGACCAACAAACUUUGCAUAAACUUCUCCAUCCUUAGUCUUAGGAAGUACAUAGGAUGGAGGCAUGAACUCUUUUGGCUUGUUGAGAGUGGGCAUGCCCCUUGUGGCCUUCCCACUAACAACCUUACCUUUCUCCUUGUGCUCUUCUCGUACAAAAGUUUCUUUUAGAGGGGUGGUUCACUUUUGAGAGGAUGUCUUCUUCUUGCUUGUGCUCGGGUCAAACCCGAGUCCCUCUUUGGCAAACACCUCAUUGUGUUGGCUCAACACCUCAUUAAGGUUCUUUUGCCCUUGAGCACAUGUCAUGAGCCCUUUCUCAAUUUGAGCUUUGAGAAAGUGAUUCUCCUCAAGAAUAGAUGCUAGAUCACUAUUAGAGUUAGUAGUACAAGCAUCAACAUUGAUAAUAGGAGAAGAGUAAGCCUUGUCUAGAGUUUCAAGAUAAGUAAGCUUGAGUGUCUCAAAACUAUUUGUAAGAAGGGUGAGCUCUUCUUCCUUGGUCUUGAGGGACACGGAUAGGAGUUCACAAUCCUUAGAGAGAGAAGCAUUAGACUUUACAAGCUUACUUUUAUCAUUCAUCAACUCUUCGCAAGAGUCAAUAGCCUUUUUCAAGGAGGCAAGAUCUCUAGUAUGAACAUCAAUGUUUGCACCAAUUUUUAAGCAUAGUUCAUCAUUGCGUGCUUCCUCAUAUUGGACUUUCCGCUCAAGGAUUUCAUAUUUUUCCUUUUCCUCGGUGACGAGGGUUUCGAGUUCCUUAAUGGAAAUGGUGUGCUUACUCACCAUCUCCAUAAGCAUACGAAACAUAGUGAGCUUCUUUCCUUUAAGGGAGCACAUGAACUUAUUUAGUUUAGCAAGCAUAUGAUCAUUUAUAUAAUCAUCCUCAUAACUAUCCUCCGCAUCAAGAUACUCAUCACUAGGAGUAGGAGGAGUGAAAAGAGGAGGGUUUGAUCGUGGGGUUACCUUGACCUUGUCAGGAGAGUGUUGGUCCUCUCCAUCUUCUACCACGGCCUUCGCCAUGAGACACUUAUGAGCGUUGCCCUUGUAAUCCUUCAUGUAGUUAUAGGUGACAACUUCACCACUCUUGUUGACUAGCCUCAAUGUGUUUUGAGAAUCUUGAGAAACUCCGGCAACACCACUAACAUCAUCCGGAUCAGAUUCUUCUUGAGCAACCAUUGCUUUCCCAUCUCUCUUCUUGAGCUUGGAGGUCAAAGGAUUUGGCAACUUCUUCUUGGGGAAGGUCUUGGGAAACCUUGGUUUAUCUUCUCUCUUCUCAUAAGGGCACUCGUUGGAGAAGUGGUUGGUUUCUUCACAGUUGUAGCAUUUUCUUACUUUCUUCUUUUGAAACCUUCCCUUGAAUUUUCCCGCGCUAAACUUCUUGACAAAGAGAGCCAUGUCUUCAUAUGAAGGGCCCUCAUCGGAUUCAACCUCAUCACCAUCUUCAUCAUCAUCAUCAUCAUCAUCUUCUUCUUCACUUUUCUCAUCUUCACAUACAUGCUUGGCCUUCAAUGCAAGAUUGAUCUUCGACGAUGGAGUACCAUGCAUGGCAAGAUGUUUUGUAGCAUUUGCCUUUGACUCUUCAAAUAGUUGGAAAGUGGAUAUGAUGUCAUCUGUAGUCAUUUCGUUGAAGGCAUGGGGUUGUCUUAUGUCCCAUACCAUCUGAUGGUGAUAUGGAGCAAGAGCAUGGAGCAACUUGUCCACAAGGAAUCGCUUAGUCAUGUUGAAUCCAUCUUGUGUCUUGUCACACUCACACGACUCAAUAUCAGCGGUGAGAGUCAUGAGACACUCAAGGAAUUGAUUUGGAGUUUCACCUUUCUCCAUACAAAAGUUUUGCAAUUGCCCCUUGGCAAUUUCAUAUUGAGCACUCCGGAGGGUGGAGGUACCGGUCUUGGAUCUUAUAAUACUUUCCCAUAGUUCCUUGGCACUUGUGAUGUGUAUGAAAGGUCUCCUUUGCUUUUCAACCAUACCUCUCCUUAUACACAUGAUUGCAGUGUCAUUGAGAUUCUUGUCAUAAAUUUCUCUUGGUGUAGGAUUCUUUGGAUCAACCACAUGCUAACCAUACUCCAAGAUCUCUAGCAUCUCAUCGUUUCCAUAUCGAAGAUGAUCCUGCAUAGCAACUCUCCACAAGGCAAAAUCGGAAGUGGCAUCAAGUAAAGGAGGUUUGCCUUGAGGGUUAUAUUUUGGUUUCUCAACUUGGGGUCUUGCAUAAAGCCAAGGAACACUAGAGUGUUCAUUGCUAGGAGGUUGUUGACCAAGUGACGGAGUAGGCACAGUUGGCCUCGAAGCCGCACCACCCGAAAGUGGUGCAAGCACCGUGGACAAUGUGGCUAUCCUCAUUUGGACCAAGGCCUCGACAGAAGCAUCAUGCUCCUCUUUUUGCUUAGCAAGGGCCCGUUCCAGAUCCUCAGAAGUAAAGGACUUGACUUCAGAGGAAGCCUCGCCUUUAUCCUUCGGAUCUGCAACACGGGGAGUCCCAUCGGGGUUCAUCUCGCUCUAGGGCGGUUAAGCCACAAGAAUAGAGCACGAGGCUCUGAUACCAAUUGAAAGGAUCGAGAUGGACCUAGAGGGGGGUGAAUAGGUACAAUUACAAAUUUUACUUGUUACUUAGCAAUUUUAGGCACUAAUGCGGAAUAUGAAAGUGAGCCUAACAAUUGCAAGUGUAGUACUAAGUGCUAAGCAAGAUAAACAAGUAACACAAGUAUGUAAGUAAACAAGCACAAUAUGAUAUAAGUAAGUGCUAAGAGACAAGUAACCACAAGUAGAGAGUUAGGGUUAGGAAUAACCAGAACUCCGAGAGACGAGGACGUAUGCCGAUGUUCACUUCCUUGGAGGGAAGCUACGUCACCGUUAGAGAGGUGGAUGUUACCACGAAGGCACACCAACGCAACGAAGGCUCACCCUAUUCUCCCUUUGAGACAACACCACGAAGGCGUUUCUCAACCACUAGUGGUAGACCUUGGGGUGGUCUCCAAACCCUCACAAACUUUUUCGGGGGUAAUCACAAAGGUCGAUUCCUCUCCGAAAGACUCCUACCGCCUAGGAGUCUCCGACCUCCAAGAGUAACAAGAUCGAUGGGGAAAAGCUCAAGACUUGCUCAAAUCACGAAUUCCUUGGGUGCAAAGAAGGGGAAGAGGUGGAUCUAUCACUUGAUCGGACAACUUCUCUCCAAAGCUCUCAAAUCCCUUGGGGAUCUAAGAUUUGGUGUGGAGGAAUGAGAGAGAGAGAGAGUGAGAAGUGUUCUAGGGUUUGUUCAAAGUGAAUGGUCAACCCUCUCCUGUGAAGAAGAAGGGCUAUAUAUAGUGUGAGCACAAAUAUGGCCAUUGUAGUGCAAGUGAACGGGCAGGCCGGACAUCCGGGCUUGGGGCCCGACAUCCGGCUGGCAAGCCACUUGAAGAACAAGGCAGAACAGAGCAGGAAAUAGAGGGGCCGGACAUCCGGGGGUCAAGCUCGGACAUCCGGCACAACAGGAAAGCCCGGACAUCCGGAAGAUAGCCAGAUAUCCGGGGAGCCCACAAGCGUUUACAAAAACAUAUCAGUUUUACGGGCAGUAAGGGGCCGGAUAUCCGGGAAAGGGCCUGGACAUCCGGCGAGACAGGAAGGCCCGGAUAUCCGGCGAACACCCGGACAUCCGGCGUAAAAUAGACAACCUUCUGUAAAGGGGAAAGGCAAGAGCCAGAUAUCCGGGGCAUGAGCCGGGCAUCCGGAGAGCGGCCCGGACAUCCGGCACGAGGCCCGGACAUCCGACACUCCCAGAGACAUAAUGAUUUAAAGAUAAGGAUGGAUAAAAAGAACUAUGGGAAGGAGUAUUUUGACUAGAGCAAGUCUUUUACGGACCCAAUCGAUCCCCUCUUAAUAGUGCGAGAUCCUAUACUCAAGGAAACAAAAUGUAACAUCAUUUUAACACUUCAUCCUUGAGAGAAACCACUUCGUAUGCUCUUGAUCCACACACAAUUUGACGAACCGGGGACAAACACCUGAGAUUCACUUGACAACCAUUGUUAGUCCCCUACAUGUAGAUUGUCAUUAACAUCAAAACAUAAUGUAAGGGCAUGAUUGCACUUUCACUUUUACCGAGGGACACGACUAUUCGAAUAGAUAAACUUCCCUGCAGGGGUGCACCACAUAACCCAACACGCUCGAUCCCAUUUGGCCGGACACACUUUCCUGGGUCAUGCCCGGCCUCGGAAGAUCAACAUGUCGCAACCCCGCCUAGGCACAACAGAGAGGUCAGCACGCCGGUCUAAAUCCUAUGGCGCAGGGGUCUGGGCCCAUCGCCCAUUGCACACCUGCACGUUGCGUGGGCGGCCGGAAGCAGACCUAGCCUAGCAGGCGUUCCAGUCCAAUCCGGCGCGCGCCGCUCAGUCGUUGACGUCACGAAGGCUUCGGCUGAUACCACGACGCCGAGUGCCCAUAACUGUUCCCGCGUAGUUGGUUAGUGUGUAUACGCCAGUGGCCAGACUCAGAUCAAAUACCAAGAUCUCGUUAAGCGUGUUAUUAUGAAGUAACCGCGAACGCCGAUCAGGGCCAGGCCCACCUCUCUCCUAGGUGGUCUCAACCCGCCCUGUCGCUCCGCCACAAACUAACAGUCGGGGGCUGUCGGGAACCCAGGCCCAGCUCUACCGGGAUGGAGCCACCUGCCACUUCAGCCCCCAUCUUCGAACAGUAUCAUAAGUAAUGUAACAAUAUAAAGUAUAUAGCAUAUGCCCGUGAUCACCUCCCGAAGUGAUCAUGGCCCAGUAGUAUAGCAUGGCAGACAGACAAGAGUGUAGGGCCACUGAUGGAACACUAGCAUCCUAUACGAAGCAUUAGGAUAGCAGGUAAAAUUAGGAUAGCAGGUAAAGGUAACAACAGUAGUGGCAAAGACAGGCUAUGAGCAGAAUAGGAUUAACGAAAAGCAGUAACAUGCUACACUACUCUAAUGCAAGCAGUAUAGAGAAGAAUAGGCGAUAUCUGGUGAUCNNNNNNNNNNNNNNNNNNNNNNNNNNNNNNNNNNNNNNNNNNNNNNNNNNNNNNNNNNNNNNNNNNNNNNNNNNNNNNNNNNNNNNNNNNNNNNNNNNNNNNNNNNNNNNNNNNNNNNNNNNNNNNNNNNNNNNNNNNNNNNNNNNNNNNNNNNNNNNNNNNNNNNNNNNNNNNNNNNNNNNNNNNNNNNNNNNNNNNNNNNNNNNNNNNNNNNNNNNNACAUAGUCGUACACAGUGGCAUCAGUGCCGGUCUCGGGGUCUACCGGAGAAUAAGAGGGGGAAGAAACAGUAAAUACGAAGCAAACAAAGCAUCACAAAAUAUAACAAGGCAAUACGCGGUGCCGGGGGUGAUCUAACGCAGCGAUAGGUAAUACCGGCGAAGGGGAAAACAUCCGGGAAAGUAUCCCUAGUGUUUCGCGUUUUCAGACAGGUGAACCGGAGGUGGAAAGUUGUGUGUUCGCUAUGCUAGGGAUGUGUGGCGGACGAACGGGCUGCUUAUCCGGAUUCGUCUCGUCGUUCUGAGCAACUUUCAUGUACAAAGUAUUUUCAUCCGAAUUACAGAUUAUUUUAUAUUAAUUUCUUAAGUUUUAGACUUUUUAUUUUUUUUAUUAAUUUUGAGAAUAAAAUGCAACAAAUACAUUUGUAACCAUGGACAGCUAGACCCAGAGGCUUACAGGUGGGGCCAGGGUCUAAGUUGACCCAAUCAAUACUUGACUGGUCAACUUGUGAACAGUGCCAGUGGGGGCCGAGUUGUCAUGGACUCUAUUUUAUAUUAAGUCAAAUUAAUUUGAGAUAAUCAACAGGGGUGGAUCACAUGUUAUUUUCUAUUGCAUUAAACUAAAUUAGCACUAACUAAUCUAGUCUAAUUAAACAAGGGCCAGCCGUAUUGGACAGUGGCCCAGCCCGCCACAAGCACACACGCAUACAACACAUUCAGUCAUGGCCAUCGCCAUGUUCAGUAGCAGCAGCAGUCAACGGCAAUUGAGCAGCAGCUAGUAGCAAUAGUAGUGAGGAGCAACAACGGCUCGCGAGAAACGAGUAGCAGGAGUAGCGGCGCAGCAGUACGCGGCAAGCAGCAGGAGCAGCACGCAGCCGGCGGCGGCAAGCUGGAGCGGCAGCAGGUAAGAGGAGCAGCAGCAAACAGACGCAUGGAGCAGCGGCGGCUCGGGCGCGGCCGUGAGCGGCGUUGGCGCAGGGCAGGCAGCGGUCGCGCGCCUAGGUGCGGCUAGGAAGCCGUGCGCGGGGAGGGUGGGCCGCGGCCGCGGCGACCAGCAGGCAGAGGCGGGCGGCGCGCGGACGCGAACGACAGCGGAUGGCGAACAACAACGGACAACAACAGCGGCUGGAGCANNNNNNNNNNNNNNNNNNNNNNNNNNNNNNNNNNNNNNNNNNNNNNNNNNNNNNNNNNNNNNNNNNNNNNNNNNNNNNNNNNNNNNNNNNNNNNNNNNNNNNNNNNNNNNNNNNNNNNNNNNNNNNNNNNNNNNNNNNNNNNNNNNNNNNNNNNNNNNNNNNNNNNNNNNNNNNNNNNNNNNNNNNNNNNNNNNNNNNNNNNNNNNNNNNNNNNNNNNNNNNNNNNNNNNNNNNNNNNNNNNNNNNNNNNNNNNNNNNNNNNNNNNNNNNNNNNNNNNNNNNNNNNNNNNNNNNNNNNNNNNNNNNNNNNNNNNNNNNNNNNNNNNNNNNNNNNNNNNNNNNNNNNNNNNNNNNNNNNNNNNNNNNNNNNNNNNNNNNNNNNNNNNNNNNNNNNNNNNNNNNNNNNNNNNNNNNNNNNNNNNNNNNNNNNNNNNNNNNNNNNNNNNNNNNNNNNNNNNNNNNNNNNNNNNNNNNNNNNNNNNNNNNNNNNNNNNNNNNNNNNNNNNNNNNNNNNNNNNNNNNNNNNNNNNNNNNNNNNNUCCAGUGGCUCAGGCGAUGGAGGAGAUGAUGGCGGUCCUCCUUGACAGCAGCUUGGGCGCCGUGGAGCUCGGUGGCCACGAGGGCGCGAGUGGACACCGGCGAUGGCGCUCGGGUGAGAGGGGAGAAACGGAUCCGGGGCGGGAGGGGGCGGAGAUCUGGGAGGAGAGCGGGGGGCGAGUGGGAGAGGGAACCGAGGAGCCGCAGCGCUGGCUGCCUUAUCCCACCGACGGGGACGGCGAGGUGGUUCGACGGGGACGCGCCCCUGUUCAUGGCGCGGUCGGAGGAACAGGGCGUGUGGGAAGAAGACGACAAGGGGGAACGGGGGAGUGGGCCUGCUCGGUUGGGCCGGUUGGGCUGGCCGGCUGGGCCGUUUGGCCCAGUUGGCCAGGGGGUUCCUUUUCUUUCUCUUUCUAUUUUAUUUCUGUCUUUACUUUUUAUUUAUCUUUCUUUUACUGAUUUAUAUUUUAUCUUAGUUUUGUAAAAUACAAAAAUGAUCCCUGAAUUAGUAUUACCACUAAACACACUGCCACAAAAAGUUUAACCCCCGAACAAAAUAGUUUAGUAUUUUAUAAAAUCCAAAAGCCAUUUAUUUAAUUGUUUUACCUACUGUUUUAAUUACUUAAGUGCAUUUAAACCUUUUAUAAAAAUGUGGUUUCUCCAACAUAAUUACCUAUGCAUUAUUUAGCACAACCCGAACAAUUUAGUUUUAAUAUUUGAAAACCUUUGUUGUUAGCCUUUGUUUUAAAUUUGAAUUUGAAUCGAUUUUGAAUCAACGCGAGUUUAAUUACAGUAACUGAGGUGACGUGGCAUCAUUAGCAGAGGUUCACUGUAGUUUGAUUAUCCGGGCGUUACAAUUCUCCUCCACUACAAGAAAUCUCGUCUCGAGAUUUAAGAGGGGGAGUACGGGGGAAAGUUGUGGUUACGAAAUUCUAACGAUUCUUCUCGAUCUUGGUUGCUCUCCCCGAAGUAGUUGAUCCUCUUCGUUUAUGUCUUUAUUUCUCUGCUUCAGGUCAUCAUAAUGAGUUCGACAUCCUUUCUUCGGGAACUCCAUCGUACUUACGAAAGAAUAAAGGGUGGGCAUUCCAGAAGAACAGACCUCUGCAAGGUUGACUAUCUGGUCGAUAACAUCGGGGAAGGUGGCGGUAAGUAACUCUCGAAUUGAAACUUAAGAAAAUAUCGAGAGCAAAGUAAGGAGGUAUCAUGGGAAGUUUCAAGCAGGUAGGCAAUCGUUUGAUGCCUGAUACGGGGCGUGAAAAGGGGUUCAAAGCAACGGGAAUAAGUAUUGUGUGUGAUACCAGAAUUGAUGAUCUCUCGAACGAUGGCUCGUGAAUUACAUAUGAAAUCAAGCGCGAGGAAUAACUUUGGCAACAUGGGUGUACAGGAGAGUCAGGUUUCAAUCCUGUGGAACUGUGGGUUUUGCGCCCACCACGUGGUUAAAAGUAGGAGGAGUGGUGACAUCUUGCAUGGUCAUGAUAGCAACGCAUGUCAGAGGGUGGCCUGCCAGUUAUGUCGGCAACAACGUCGGUACCAAGGGCGAGGGACGAACAGAACCAUUUUCCUGCUCGUUGAAUGAGGCGGACCAAUAGGCAAAGUUCUCGUCCAUUGGUUGGUACCGGAAUGUCAUCAACAAUAGUAACAGGGUCUUGCUGACAGAAUUGUACACCGAGGUGUUUACAUAAGCAGGAGAAUAUUUCUGCUCGAAUCAUAUAGAUCACAAGAAAGGUUAAACCAAACAAUGGAAAGGAAAAUGUGAUUAUCAGAUUAAACAGAACAAUGGAAAGGAAAAAUGUGUUUAAACACAUAUUUUAGGGGUAUAUCCUUCCCAAGGACAAGCAGAGCAUGAUAUCCGUGACAAGAUAUAAUGUAGAAAACCCUUUAGGAAAGGGGGAGAAAUUUCAUGACAUUACCCAUACAACGGUGUUUGGAUAAUUUGAUAAAGAAAAUUUAGCAUUGUGCUUCAAAUGCUCUUAUUGAAAAUCGGAUUACCACAGACAUGCUUCGAGAUAGCAUUGACAUGGUCAUCAAUUAAGGUUCAGAAUUUGGAUGCACGAAGGAUCCAUCAGGAACAACUUGUAGAAUAAGUUUUACAAUUUCCUCAUGGAAGAAUGGAUGAUAACCUUGCUGAAAGGAAGAACUAUAACAAUAGGUCCUCUGGUCAAGUGUGCUAGGCAUGACAUCACCUUACCGGGUCAUAUAAAGACCUAUGUUAUAACUCUUGAAAAUAUGCUCCAACCAUCAUAGCUGACCGAGAUUCAGAUCUGAUCGGUGUUAGGAAACCUCAGACUCAGGAUGCCUGAGAAGAAAAGGUGCCAGACAAGACAGGAUGACACUGUAAGAUUCUCAGGAAAUGAACUAUGAAGUGAUUUCCGUUAACAAGAGUUCAUCAUUAACCCAAGGAGAGGACAAGGAGGUGGCUGAUGGGCUAAGGACAAUUCAUCGAGAUUUCCAAAAGAUGGAUUUCCACAGUUAUGUGAACAAGGAGAUAACAUUCGUCAUAUCAAAUGAUAUAAUGAUGUAUGCUCGAGGAAAACAUACACAAUCAAACAUUGAUUGAAAGGUGCACCCGAAAUAUGGGCUUUGGUAGCAAGAUCAAUGUUAGAAGGGUGAUACGAUAUCCAAUACACAAAGAAUGUAACUAACGUUCAUUAACUUACAAGCAAUAGGGUUGCUAGAAGUUUUGACUUCACACAUCAUAGUUAAAUGGCUGGCAUCCCGGUUAGAAACAACACGGGGACCAAAAUAUGAACGGAGAUGGCGAGAAGUAUUACUAUAUCAAGAAUUCUUAAGAGGUGGUGAAAUUCUCAUGACAUUCUUGACAUAAAAGAUGGUAAUACUCCAAGGUAAAGAACAAAUGCUGGAUAGCAAGGAUCCUAAGGUAUAACACAAAACACGAACAAGUUUGUGUUGGAGGGAAGGCAGUAAAGUGGCCGAUGAUAACACAAAUCAUCGGGGGAAAGGAUGGUCUUUCUCAUCAUGAAUUCAAUUGAUAUUCUGGAAGGACUCAGAAUGCUCAUGAUGAUCACGACACAUUUGUCAAGAGAUUCCAUGAAGAUGUAAUCGAUCGGCGAUGACAUCAAGUCAAAGGAAUGAUGAAGCGAAAGGUUAUUGGAACCCUGGGUACGACACAAACUCGAAAUCAAGUUUGCUGUUCAAGGAGAAAUGAUAUGACGAGGAAGAUCAACGUAAGAUUAGAUCACCGUCGAAGGUUGUGCUCCGUGAUUAAGGACCAGGUAGCACAGUUAAAAUCAGCACGAUAAUGAUGUAGCCGAGUAGGCUAGGAAUGAUGUGAUCGAGUUCAAACUCGUAAGUAAUGAAGGUUACCAAGAGUUGUUGAAUCGCAGUGCGAACUCGAUUCAGUUGUCGGUGUCCUUGAGGGGUUCUAACAACUCAGAACCCGUUGGAAAAAUGGAAUCGGCAAGAAUAUUAGUUGACGAAGAACUCAUAAGAAGUUAUGUUGCUCCUGAUAAUCUCGAGAUACCUGGGGGUAAUACUCGACGACAGAUCAAAGUAGAGGUUGGACUGGGGUAUUGCUCCGUAGAAGACAAGUGCUUAAACUUGUCCGCGAAAUGGGAUCAAAGAAGAACAAUCAUGGUCAAAACCACGAUUGCAAAGGACCAAAACAAAAUACAAGAUGAUUUUAAAACAAGGGAACAAUUAUUAUUACAAGAAGCUUUCAUGAUAAGUUCCACAUCGGGUCCAUGGGCAUGAACACAAAGUUCAAGGUCGACUCCCACUUCUUCAAUGCCUAACCUAUCAUUUACUUCUCGUCUUCGAAAAAAGUUGUAGAGCAGAAAAUUAUCUGGUAAAACACCAGAAUGGUAUGACUUGUGUAAACUUUCAGGUGCAUACGGUUUUAGGGAAGGUAUAGGCUCAACCCAUCGGGGCAUCUUAGAAACAUAUACUACAAAGUUCGAAAGUAAAUAACUCAAGCUCGAAAGCAGAGCAUCGUUGGCCAUAUCAAAGAAUAGGAUUUAGCAAUGGCAUUAUGUAUCAGGGAAAGAACUUCUUGAGGUUUUUGUGUACAAAGGACACUGUCGGAUGAAAAUUCAACAAAGGAUCUGACGGUCCAUAACGGAGUUGAUGUGAGCAUUUGCACACCACCAAUGGAAGAAACAAUGCAAAGGUAUUUAAUUAUAGAAACAACUGACUACAUCAAAUCUCAAAGGCAAAGGAAUUAAGAUUUCCAAAUCAAGGGAUCAGAAGCAAUCGUUCUAAUCAAAAAUGAAUAAGUUCAAUAGAAUUAGAAGCACAACCGAUCAAGGCAUUGAUUGGUCAAGAACCAGCUCAUAUCCAAAUGACGUCUGAGCCAGAAGGAUAAUCCUAGGAUUCGACUGAUGAUGGUGAACAUUCGCAACUUAUUGAAUCAACGGACUCAAAAUGAUAAUGACAAAGGAUGCCAUUAAGAUUACUAGACUUAUGGGGUUAACCAUAAUGCAAGCAAGUAAGAAUUUCAAGAGCAAUAGGCUCCUGAGGAUUUUUGGAAGAUUGAAUGGUAUUUCGAAGAUUGGUGACAUACAUGAAUCAACUGGGGAUGAGUGGAUACUCGGUAAGUGCGAGAAAUUAUCCGUAGGGAUAUUCAUGUGGCAAGAACUGCAAGGCAGUAGGCACAAAGUAUUCUCGGAACAUUAGGGAGAAUUUCGGGGUAUCUUGGAAUAACAAGAUCAACUGGGAAUAAAAGUAAGAACAACAGGUGUAAGUAUUUAUCCAUAGGGAUGUUUCGAUGGUAUGGAAUUGCAAAAGCAACAGGCUCAAAGUCUCGAGAGAACAUCGGAGAGUAUCUUCGAAAUCCUUCGGUGGACCAAGUAAUCAUCUGGAGUAAGGGGCUCUCCGGGUGGAAGUAGUUACGAGAACCUAGAGUCGGCGUUAGUAAAAUCAUUUAACCCGAAUAGAAGAGAGAUCAGAGUCCCAGAGUAUAGAUCGAGGAAUAAAAGAUCCUAAUACCACCCAAUGGCAACGUGGGCCCGUAAGCCGCACAGCCAUGUUAGUAAAAACUUUUUAAAUGACUAGACUCGACUUCGGCCAAGGAGUUGGAAAGGGGGAUUCCUACAGGCAGUCGGCUCUGAUACCAACUUGUGACGCCCCCGAUUCAAUCGUACACUAAUCAUACACACAAACGUGUAUGAUCAAGAUCAGGGACUCACUGGAAGAUAUCACAACACAACUCUAAAAAUAAAAUAAGUCAUACAAGCAUCAUAAUACAAGCCAGGGGCCUCGAGGGCUCGAAUACAAGUGCUCGAUCAUACACGAGUCAGCGGAAGCAACAAUAUCUGAGUACAGACAUAAGUUAAACAAGUUGCCAUAAGAUGGCUAGCACAAACUGGGAUACAGAUCGAAAGAGGCGCAUACCUCCUGCCUGGGAUCCUCCUAAACUACUCCUGGUCAUCGUCAGCGGCCUGCACGUAGUAGUAGGCACCCUCGGUGCAGUAGGAGUCAUCGUCGACGGUGGCGUCUGGAUCCUGGGCUCUAGCAUCUGGUUGCGACAACCAGGUAGAAUGGAAAGGGGGAAAAGAGGGAGAAAAGCAACCGUGAGUACUCAUCCAAAGUACUCGCAAGCAAGGAUCUACACUACAUAUGCAUGGGUAUCUGUGUAAAGGGGAAAUAUCGAUGGACUAAACUGCAGAAUGCCAAAAUAAGAUGGGGAUAGCUAGUCCCGUCGAAGACUACGCUUCAGGCCACCUCCAUCUUGCAGCAUGUAGAAGAGAGUAGAUGGUAAGUUCACCAAGUAGCAUCGCAUAGCAUAAUCCUACCUAGCGAUCCUCCCCUCGUCGCCCUGUGGGAGAGCGAUCACCGGGUUAUAUCUGGCACUUGGAAGGGUGUGUUUUAUUAAGUGUUCGGUUCUAGUUGUCAUAAGGUCAAGGUACAACUCCGGGUCGUCCUUUUACCGAGGGACACGGCUAUCCGAAUAGAUAAACUUCCCUGUAGGGGUGCACCACAUAACCCAACACGCUCGAUCCCAUUUGGCCGGACACACUUUCCUGGGUCAUGCCCGGCCUCGGAAGAUCAACACGUCACAGCCCCACCUAGGCACAACAGAGAGGUCAGCACGCCAGUCUAAAUCCUAUGGCGCAAGGGUCUGGGCCCAUCGCCCAUUGCACACCUGCAUGUUGCGUGGGCGGCCGGAAGCAGACCUAGCCUAGCAGGCGUUCCAGUCCAAUCCGGCGCGCGCCGCUCAGUCGCUAACGUCACGAAGGCUUCGGCUGAUACCACGACACCAAGUGCCCAUAACUGUUCCCGCGUAGUUGGUUAGUGCAUAUAGGCCAGUGGCCAGACUCAGAUCAAAUACCAAGAUCUCGUUAAGCAUGUUAUUAUGAAGUAACCGCGAACGCCGACCAGGGCCAGGCCCACCUCUCUCCUAGGUGGUCUCAACCCGCCCUGUCGGUCCGCCACAAAGUAACAGUCGGGGACCGUCGGGAACCCAGGCCCACCUCUACCGGGAUGGAGCCACCUGCCCCUUCAGCCCCCAUCUCCGAACAGUAUCAUAAGUAAUGUAACAGUAUAAAGUAUAUAGCAUAUUCCCGUGAUCACCUCCUGAAGUGAUCAUAGCCCAGUAGUAUAGCAUGGCAGACGGACGAGAGUGUAGGGCCACUGAUGGAACACUAGCAUCCUAUACUAAGCAUUAGGAUAGCAGGUAAAGGUAACAACAGUAGUGGCAAAGACAGGCUAUGAGCAGAAUAGGAUUAACGGAAAGCAGUAACAUGCUACACUACUCUAAUGCAAGCAGUAUAGAGAAGAAUAGACAAUAUUUGGUGAUCAAGGGGGGGGGGGGCUUGCCUGGAAGCUCAGCCGAGAAGGAGGGUCGCCGGUGACGUAGUCGUACAAAGUGGCAUCAGUGCCGGUCUCGGGGUCUACCGGAGAAGAAGAGGGGGAAGAAACAGUAAAUACGAAGCAAACAAAGCAUCACAAAAUAUAACAAGGCAAUAUGCGGUGUCGGGGGUGAUCUAACGCAGCGAUAGGUAAUACCGGCGAAGGGGGAAACAUCCGGGAAAGUAUCCCCAGUGUUUCGCGUUUUCGGACAGGUGAACCGGAGGGGGAAAGUUGCGUGUUCGCUAUGCUAGGGAUGUGUGGCGGACGAACGAGCUGCUUAUCCGGAUUCGUCUCGUCGUUCUGAGCAACUUUCAUGUACAAAGUAUUUUCAUCCGAAUUAUGGAUUAUUUUAUAUUAAUUUCUUAAGUUUUAGACUUUUUAUUUUUUAUUAAUUUCGAGAAUAAAAUGCAACAAAUACAUUUGUAACCAUGGACAGCUAGACCCAGAGGCUUACAGGUGGGGCCAGGGUCUAAGUUGACCGAGUCAAUACUUGACUGGUCAACUUGUGAACAGUGCCAGUGGGGGCCCAGUUGUCAUGGACUCUAUUUUAUAUUAAGUCAAAUUAAUUUGAGAUAAUCAGCAGGGGUGGAUCACAUGUUAUUUUCUAUUGCAUUAAACUAAAUUAGCACUAACUAAUUUAGUCUAAUUAAACAAGGGCCGACCGUAUUGGACAGUGGCCCAUCCGGCCACAAGCACACACGCAUACAACACAUUCAGUCAUGGCCAUCGCCAUGUUCAGUAGCAGCAGCAGUCAACGGCAAUUGAGCAGCAGCUAGUAGCAAUAGUAGUGAGGAGCAGCAACGGCUCGCGAGAAGCGAGUAGCAGGAGUAGCGGCGCAGCAGUAUGCGGCAAGUAGCAGGAGCAGCACGCAGCCGGCGGCGGCAAGCUGGAGCGGCAGCAGGUAAGAGGAGCAGCAGCAAGCAGACGCAUGGAGCAGCGGCGGCUCGGGCGGGAGAAUUGAUUUUAACCCCCCAGCUCGCGCGCCUUUGAUCUUAAGCCCCUUUGUUCGUUUGCCUUCCUCUGAACCCCCCAGUUCUGUCUACUUGUUGCUGGUACCCCCCUUUGGCAUUGUUAACAACUUUGUUAGUGUAUAACUAACAUAUUGAAAUAGAAAUAGACAAAAGUACCCCUCUGUUUGAAAGGCACAUCUCUGUACCUUGUCCGAAUUUUCAAACCACAAAAUAUUUUGGCCAAAUAAGAAAUGACAUGAUUUUCUAAAGCUGUGUGCUAUGUUUCACAAAAAAAAUUGAUAUGAUUUUGCUGUAAUCAAUAGCCUUCCACACAAACAGGCUGGAAAUAAUAUAGGGUCACAAUGAUUCAAUGAUAGCAUAGAGAAUAAUUCAGCCAUGUUCUACAUGACUUCAUGACAGCAAAAUAAGUGAGUCUUUACCUCACAUAUAGGACUUCAUGAUAGCAAAAUAAGUGAGUCUUUACCUCACAGCAAAAUAAAUGUGAGUCUCUACCUCACAUACAAAGCAAAUAAAAGUGAGUUUGCACCUCACAUACACAACAAUAAAAGUGAGUCUCCACCCACAGCCGAGUUCAUCACAACCACAAACAAGCUCACAGGUCGCUUAAUUUCUUCCUCUUAGGUGUCAUUUUCUUCUUCUUUCCUUUUGCUGGAGGUUUUGGUGGUGGGGUAGCAGCUUGGCUCCUUGUGACAGGUCCAGGACUAGCUUGAGCUGCAGCUUGGCUUCUUGUGACAGCUCCAGGACUGCUACAAGUGGCAUCAUUCUUUCUCCAUUUGGUGCCUCACAACCUACAACAAAAAAUUGUACAGAUCUGAAUGUUAUUACUAUGACAAAAAAUGAAGCAAUAAAAAUAUAAAGCACAAAGGCAAUUACCAUCACGCAAUUUUCAUCCCUUCGCCAACUAGCAGUUAAAGCCCAUUUGCAAGGGUCACCUAUUAUGGAUUGACCUUUGCAAAAAGCACGAAACCUCCCUGGCUCAUUUUUCUUUGUGCCAUAUUCAAACUCUCCAUUGACAGCCCACUGUUUUAAAGCCUUUCUAAAUUCAACCAUGUUAGGAUAAGGUGUCCCUAUAUCCAUGGCUGGGUUUCGUUCAUCCCAGGCAAUAAGUGGCUCCUCUGGAGCAUUAUCAUCAACAACAAUAUCUGCAUCUUUGAUAUCAUGUAAGUCAGACUCCACAUCAGGAGUAGGAACGGCAAUAGAACGAAGCUCAGUUCCUCUCUCAUCCGGUUCUGUUUUUAAACCAAACAGAGCAAACAUGGCUUUCUCGUCCGGCGGUUUUUCAUCUCCAUCAUUUUCUGGUUCAAUCACAAGACUUGACCAAUCAAUAAUAGCACUACCAUUUUCUACUUCAUUGCAUGAGAUCGCCCCCGUGGUUAGGUUUAUCACACUGGAUUGGUUAGAAUCAUGCACAGACAUUGCAUCGAUCCUAUUCAAUAUAGACAGAAAAAAUCAGAAAAAUCACACACCAAAACUCAUGCAUACAUCAAUUAGAACAGGGGAAUAUGAUGUUAUCUUUUCAGAUCCAUCACACCCCUUAGUCAAUCCAGCCCCUCCCACUCAAAUCCCAUGCCAAUCACACACAAGACCUAGGUUUCCACGAUUUAGAAACUAUACCAGAAGAAAAGCACAAAAUCUGUGAAAAAUACAAGGGGGAAGAGGUUGCCUUACCUUGGGCCAGCGAAGGAAGGCGGCGGAUGGGGGGAAACGCGGCGGAGCAGGGCAGCGGACGGCGGGCGCAGCGGCUCUGGCGACUGGCGGCGGGGCGGCUGGCGGCUAGGUCAAGUCGGGGAGGGGAGGGGAGAUAGAAUGAAAAACAGGCCAGGCCUUGGGCCUCGGUCUCGUGAGUUUGGGGAAAAUUGGACGAGGGCAGUUUUGGCAAUUCCAAAUUUGUUAAGUCCAGAUUCUUUCCUUAUGCGCUAAAUCCAGAGAUAACAGCGCUAGAGGGGCAAGCGAGCCAAAAUUACGCCGCGUCGGGGGCUUGAGAGAAAGGCAAACGAACNNNNNNNNNNNNNNNNNNNNNNNNNNNNNNNNNNNNNNNNNNNNNNNNNNNNNNNNNNNNNNNNNNNNNNNNNNNNNNNNNNNNNNNNNNNNNNNNNNNNNNNNNNNNNNNNNNNNNNNNNNNNNNNNNNNNNNNNNNNNNNNNNNNNNNNNNNNNNNNNNNNNNNNNNNNNNNNNNNNNNNNNNNNNNNNNNNGCUUAAGAUCAAAGGCGCGCGAGCUGGGGGGGGGGGUUAAAAUCAAUUCUCCCGGCUUGGGCGUGGCCGUGAGCGGCGUUGGCGCAGGGCAGACAUCGGUCGCGCGCCUGGGUGCGGCUAGGAAGCGGUGCGCGGGGAGGGUGGGCCGCGGCCGCGGCGACCAGCAGGCAGAGGCGGGCGGUGCGCGGACGCGAAUGACAGCGGAUGGCGAACAACAACGGACAACAACAGCGGCUGGAGCAACCAAAAACUAAAACGACGUUGGAGCUCAAAAUCGAGCUCAAGCUAAGGGGAAAACGGCACGGUUGCUCACAUCGGGGUGUUGCCGUGCUCGAAGUGACACGAGGAGGCCGGAGUCGAGGGGAUUGACGGGAAGAAGCGACAGCGUCCGACGAAGGGGAUCGAGGAAGAUAGCGUCGAGGCGGCUCGCCGGCUCCAAUCUAGUGGCUCAGGCGAUGGAGGAGAUGAUGGCGGUCCUCCUUGACAUCAGCUUGGGCGUCGGGGAGCUCGGUGGCCACGAGGGCGCGAGUGGACACCGGCGAUGGCGCUCGGGUGAGAGGGGAACGGAUCCGGGGCGGGAGUGGGGCGGAGAUCUGGGAGAACGGGGGGCGAGUGGGAGAGGGAACCGAGGAGCCGCAGCGCUGGCUGCCUUAUCCCACCGACGGGGACGGCGAGGUGGUUCGACGGGGACGCGCCCCUGUUCAUGGCGCGGUCGGAGGAACAGGGUGCGUGGGAAGAAGAUGACAAGGGGGAACGGGGGAGUGGGCCUGCUCGGUUGGGCUGGUUGGGCUGGCCGGCUGGGCCGUUUGGCCCAGUUGGCCAGGGGUUCCUUUUCUUUCUCUUUUUAUUUUAUUUCUGUCUUUACUUUUUAUUUAUCUUUCUUUUACUGAUUUAUAUUUUAUCUUAGUUUUGUAAAAUACAAAAAUGAUCCCUGAAUUAGUAUUACCACUAAACACACUGCCACAAAAAGUUUAACCCCCGAACAAAAUAGUUUAGUAUUUUAUAAAAUCCAAAAGCCAUUUAUUUAAUUGUUUUACCUACUGUUUUAAUUACUUAAGUGCAUUUAAACCUUUUAUAAAAAUGUGGUUUCUUCAACUAAUUACCUAUGCAUUAUUUAGCACAACCCGAACAAUUUAGUUUUAAUAUUUGAAAACUUUUGUUGUUAGCCUUUGUUUUAAAUUUGAAUUUGAAUCGAUUUCGAAUCAACGCGAGUUUAAUUACAGUAACCGAGGUGACGUGGCAUCAUUAGCAGAGGUUCACUGUAGUUUGAUUAUCCGGGCGUUAUAGUGUUUGAUUCAUCCCAUUGAUUGUUUCUUUGCUGGGUUUCUCUCCGGAGUAAGUUGCAAAAACCCCAACAUGCAUGCAUGCACACAUGUGCGUACAAGGCAGUCUAAAUGGGCUCCUGGAAUGGAUGUGUAGACUGUAGAAGCAAAUGUUAUGAAGGCUUUGCAGAUCGAUUAAUGCCCCCACUAGAUUCAUGUUAUG
rnacentral:lncRNA from 1 species